rnacentral:lncRNA from 1 species
UACUAUCGGUAGUAAACUGCUCGGUUUACUACCGAUUUGUUUUUUAUAAUAGAGCUUCCAAAUCGACGAUCGGCACCGUUUAACAUGAUCUAGACCAUUUAAAUUAUCUAGAAAUCAAAUAUCAUGAUUUUUUGGCAUCGCUAACUGAACGAUCAAAGGGUCACCAAAUUUAUAAUUUUAAUGGCCGAUGUGGUGCGUUUGCUCGUUUAAUGGUAUAGAAGAGUUCAAAUCAACUAAAUUUUUGUUAAAAUUUUUUUUAAACUAUUUAAAAUAAGAUCUAGACUCUAGAUUUCAAAUAUAAAAAUUGUAUCAUCACUUUUUGAAGGUUAUUCAUUUCCAGCCAUUCAUUUUUCUGUUCACUUGAUGGACAAGAGAACAAUAUCAAAAAUGUGUGAAAUCUGAUUUCCAGAUAGUUUAAAUAGUUUAGAUCAUGUUUAACGGUGCCGAUCAUAAAUUUGGAAGCUCUAUCAUCGAAAACAAAUCGAUAGUAAACCGAGCCAUUUACUACCGAUAGUAUUCUAGCAAAACUCUCUCUCUCUCUCUCUCUAUAUAUAUAUAUAUAUAGAGAGAGAGAGAGAGAGAGAGUUUUGCUAGAAUACUAUCGGUAGUAAGAGAGAGAGAGAGCUAGGCUGGUAUACUAUCGAUAGCACGGAGACCUCCGUACUACCAAGUUGUUUUCAAUGAUGCGGCUUCUAAAUCGACGAUCAGCCCGUUAGACUUGAUCUAUAUUAUUGAAAGUAUUUGAAAACUAAAUUUCAUAUUUUUUUAGUAUUAUUUAUCUAUCAAACGAGUAGUCUAAAAAUGAGCGGCGGAAAAUAAAAAUCUCAUAAAAAAUGAUGAUAAAAGACUUGAAUUUAAGAUCAGAGAUUUUGAUUUUACUCUAAAUAGUGAAAAAAAAAAUUUAAAAAAAUUUCAUCAGAUUUGAAUUGUUUUAUAUCGUUAAAUUUACAAACGCAUCACAUCUACCAUUAAAAUUGUCAAUUUUGAGACUUUUUGAUCACUAGCCAAAUGAUGUCGAAAAGUUAUGAAAUUUAGUUUUUAAAUACUUUUAAUAGUGUAGAUCAAGUCUAACAGAGCCAAUCGUCGAUUUGAAAGCCGCAUCAUUGAAAACAAUUUGGUAGUACGGAGGCCUCCGUACUACCGACAAUAUAUAUGAGUCUGGUUAUGAUACUAUUAGUAGCACUAAGCGUGCUACCGAGUUUUUCACCGUAAGAUUUAACUCUUUUACUAUUUUCACCCGUUAAAUUAUACUAUUUAAUCAACAACUUACUCAAUCCCAGAGGACCCACAUAAUUCUAACCGUAUAUUUCUUCGUCCAAAGGUCAAAAACCUAAUAGCACCGUAUAUAUCAGAAAAUUGCAUCACAGUGAGAUGGAGAGAUAGACCUAUACGACAACUUAGGCUUCUGCCUAGUACACAUCUACUAAUGAAGAGAGAAAAAGGAAUUAUUAUAGUGUAUGAUUCUUGGCUUGCUCAAGAAAUCAAAAGAAAAAAAAAAAUCUUUUUUAAGAAACAAAAGUUAAAAAGGCCGGAUACGAAGUGUAAUAUUCGGUUAGGAGUACUUGGUCUUCACGACUAAGUACGGGGCGAUUCCGGCAAUGGCGGGAGCUGUGGCGAUUCCGGCAAUGGCGGGCGCUGAUGCUGCUGAUCCGGGCCCUGCCACGCCCAGCAGAUAUCCUUGAGCGACGGCUUCAGGUCCUGGUUGCAGAACUUCUGGUACUCCAGCGUGUCCCCCGCCGAUUUCUUCACCUCCACCACGUAAAACGACGGCGUGACCUCGAAAAACUCGGCGUCGAUAGCGAGCUGCCCCUUCCGCCCUUCCCUGCACCCUUGCAGCUUCACCAUUCCGUCCUUCUUCUUCACUUUGAACCGGUGCUCCGUCUCCGCAAUCUCCUCCAGCUUCGACACGAUGGCUGAGGCUGGCUUCUGGCUCAUGAACCGUGCCUCCGGCUUCUGCCCUUUGUCUCUCUCGAACAAGCCUGAUAGGUCGAACCCCGGAGAAAGCGAUAUGAUAUCGAACGCGUUCAAGCAAGUCGGCCGCAUCGUGUCCUUCACUUCGUCUUUCCUUCCGUCCUCCUUCUCUUCUUCCAAAUCUGCUUUGAAUGCCGCUUGCACAUCUCUCAGGCUGGUUGAGCCUGCGGGAUGCGCAAGCAUCUCUGCCGGCUUGAACCCCUUCCUGAACCACGGGCUCUCGACCAACUUCUCGAUGGUGAUCCGCGUGCUAGGGUUAGGGUCGAGUAGCUUGGCAAGAAGCCUUCGCACCUCCGUCGAGAACCACUGCGGGCACCUGAACUCUCCUUUGCUGAUCUUCCUAUACAUUUCCAUCAAGUUCGAGUCGUGGAACGGCAGAAACCCGGCGAGGAGAACGAAGAGUAUCACCCCGCACGACCAUAUAUCGGCCUUGGCCCCGUCGUAGCCUUUCUUAUUGAUAAUCUCCGGCGCUACGUACGCCGGCGUGCCACACGUGGUGUGCAGAAGCCCGUCUUGCCGCUGAGACUCUUUAAAGGCGCUCAACCCGAAAUCCGACACCUUGAGGCUCCCAUUCUCAUCGAGAAGAAGGUUCUCUGGCUUGAGAUCACGGUGGUAGACCCCCCGACUAUGGCAGAAGUCGACGGCCCCAGUCAGCUGCUGGAAGUACUUCCUCGCCGCGUCCUCCUUGAGCCGUCCCUUUGCGACCUUAUUGAAUAGCUCGCCGCCCCGCACAUACUCCAUGACAAAGUAGAUCUUCGUCUUGCUGGCCAUGACCUCGUAGAGCUGGACGAUGUUCGGGUGGCGCACAAGCCGCAUAACGGAGAUCUCACGCUUGAUCUGAUCAAUCAUUCCGACACGGAGAACCUUCUCCUUGUCGAUUAUCUUAACCGCCACGCUCUGGCUCGACGUGAGGUUCCGCGCAUGAUACACCUUCGCGAACGUGCCCUGCCCGAGAAGCCGCCCGAGCUCGUACCGGUUCAUAAGAAUCGCGCCCUUCUUCUCCAUCUCUCUUCGUCCGCGCCCUGCCCUGCGGCGGAAAUGGUAGGAUUAGAAAAGGAGUUUGGUGGGUCGGGAGCGGCAUCUCUCCACGUAUCUCCUUCUCGCGGCCAUUGGCGCUGGCAAUAGGAGGGAAGAACCAAAGACCUAGCCUAUGGGGCUAGGAUGUUUGGAAUCCUCAAAGAGAGAUAGAGAGAGAGAAGGUUAAUUUGUUAAAUCUUUCUUGAAAUAAAUUACAAGGCCAAAAUUGUUUCAAUUUUCCUCUCCAAUAGGUGUGUGUGUUUGUGGGGGUUUCGAUUGGCUAAAGAUAACGUAUGGAGGUUAAACUUUCCCGCGUUUGUGCCUCCCAUAUAUAGGUUGCGGACGUUAUUUUAGUUACCAUUAUUAGUGGAGGGGCUAUCUAAGGUGAAAGAGGGAUCUCUUCUUCGAAUCUUUUGAUUGAGAGAAUAUUCAACUAAUUAUUCUUGUAAAAGCAUGGAUGUUUAGAAGGUGAUAGUUUUGAAAAAAAAAAUUACAGCACUUUUUCUAGGCCAUGGUUGGUCCCUGUUUGUUUUACUUCGUCCAAAUGUGGAUUUCUGCCAUUCUGAGACGACAAUGUUCUCUCUCGUCAGAUGAUCAAAUCUUUAUAUGGACAUCUGGUUUGGUGUCUAUUUGGCCUUACUUUUGAAAUAGCUUUUCUAUUUCGAGAAGUUUAGCUCCUUUAGACUUCAAAACUAAAGGCUUUAAUUCAAAGUUUUUGCCUCUGCUGCGAAGGAAAGCAAUGAACAAGAUUUUGAUAGAUAAUUGCUACGUUCUUUUUUGAAUCAUUCUAUUCAAAUAAGGUAGGGAUAUAUAUAUAUAUAUAUAUAUAUAUAUAUAUAUAUAUAUAUAUAUAUAUAUAUUUCUUUUCAACUCACCUCUUGAGAGAGAGCAUUUGAUUAUUCCGACCGCCUACCGGAGAUCAACAGGGAGAGUUGGCUUUCAGAGUUUGCGAAGCGGAGCUAAGGAAUGUCCUUUAAAAAUGGUUUAAAUAUGGCACUGGGGUGUUCUUGGAUUCUCUUUGCUAUAUGUACAAUACUCACUACUUCUCGAGGGAUUCGAAAACAAGUGUUGUUCUUUAUGUGCUAACAUUAUAUUUCAUAGUUCUUAGUCUCCCCCACGUGGGGGAGGAGACUCUGAAAAUGACCAAAACCCUAAUAAGUCAAUGCCUUGAUAGGCCCUUUCAAUUUGUCGACCUGGGCUUUUGCUAUUUGGGAGCAAGGAACUUUUGUCUCUCAUUCCAUUUAAGGAACAAAAUGGACCACUGUGAUUGAAAUAGGUAACUAGUAGUAGCACUCAAGAGCCAUAUUUGAUUGAUCAAAAUAAGGGCUCCAUUCUAUAGUUGUGUGGAAUAGAAAUAGCAAGUCAAUUGUGCGCUCUUAUUGAGAUGGGUAGGAUGUGAUUCUGGGGGCGAUUUAUGGCCUCUACCAACAUACCUGCUGGAGAUUGCCGAGGGACCAUCUUCCCAUCUAGGGAAGGAAAAGAAAAAAAAAAUAAAGUUGUUAUUAUAAGACUAUUCCAUAAGUCAAUUUUAAGAUUCACUUUAUUCACGUGCUGAACGACAGAUAAAACAAUCUCGCAUUGAAGAUCAUUUCUGUCAAAUCUUUGUAUUAUGCGAACUUGGAGAGGUGCAAAAAUCUAGACUAGUACUAGAAUCAUUCUUAACUAACCCAAUCCCCGCUCCCCCCAUUAUGCCUGCUAGAGAUUGCCUAGGAACCAUCAAGAAGGAAGGCCUGCUGGAGGUUGAUUGCAAUGGUUUUUAAUAUAAGACUAUUUCAUAAAUCGCUCACACAGUUUUUAAAUUCAUGCUCGUGAUAAAUGACAGAUGACACAGUUUUGUAUUGGACCGGACGCUGUUCUCGCUAAAAUUUUGUUCUAUGAAAACUCGGUGCGGUACAAUGGACCAAAAAACGAUUGUCCAAAUCUGGACCGGGCCAUAUCGGGCUGCAGCUACCAAGCCUCCUGCCGACACGGCCCUCAGGCCCGGAAGGCCCAGGGGACGUGCUUCUGGCCGGCCCCUUAAAAAAUUUUAUUUAUUUUUAUUUUUUAAAAAAAUAUGUAAAAUUUAAAAUAUAAAUAAUAAAUUAUUUAUAUUUAAAUUGAUAUUUUGAUUACAGAUUUAAAAUUUAUAAAAAUAAUUAUAAUAUAACAAAUAUUUAAUUUUUUAUAAAAAAUUAUUUUUGUGAAAAAAAGAAUUGAAAUUGUUUUUGGUUCAAUGGACCAAAACUAUUUGGUUCAUUGGACCAGAGCUCCUGAAGAGCCACGAGCUCAAACCCCAAGGCCCAAGACAAGUGCUGGGCCUCGGGGUUCGGAUCGUGUUGGCGCGGCCCAAGGCAGUUGUCUUGGGCUUUGGGGCUCGGGCCGUGUUGGCGAGGCCCAAGCGGACCGUUCCGAGCCAUAGGCCUCUCCUCAUCCUGGCACGGCCUACCGGGCCGUACCGGGCCGGAGAGCCCAAAGGUAGAGGCCCCGCAUGGCUCUGAAACUCAGGCUGAGCCGGGCCGUCACGGGUGCUACAGCACUCAUGCCGUGCUGCAGCCUGGCUUGAGGCCGUGCUGGGCCAAGCGGUCCAUGGGCCGCCCGACCCGUUUUACAUCCCUAAGUCGAAUGCAGUACUGAUAUUUUUAACACGCUCCAUGGGCACGCGGUAGGCCCUCUAGCAUGUAGCAUGUACCCUGUUUGUGGUUGUGUAAGAAUUAGAUAAAAUUGAUUUGAAUGAUCCAACACUAAGCCCGAUGAGAAUUGAACGUAACCAAAUUAAAAGAAUCAAAUAAAAUCAAUUUGGACAAUCCGAUGAAAUUAGUUAAAAAUUGGAUGAAAUUAGCUGAAACAAACUCGAAUCAAAGAUAUGUUGAGGCGGGUGUGAAACAAGUACUAAUAUCAUAGAAAAUAAUCAUUUUUCUCUAGGAUAGAGAGAUACACACUCACAUUUAUAUACACAACAAUUAUACGAGACUAACAUUUUUAACAAAUACCUGUUUAAUUAUCAAAUACACAAAAUCAGUGAUAAAACGUCUUUAUUUAAAGAAACUCUUAUGUAUGGGUAUGGAGGAGCAAAUCAGUUUCAUUUUGUAUAAAGCAAACUCGACAUGGUGUAUAUAUUAACGAGCAAAACACAAUCUGAAUCCCCAAACUAGAGGGGGUGGUUUGUUUUGGAUGGACUCAAGAGGCGAACCAGCCAAUGCAUGUACCUUACAGCAGUUGGUGUUGAAAGGUAGUACUCCAGAAAUUAUAUAGGAUCUACAUCUAAUGUUGUUUCAGGUACUCGCGACAUCGCUCAAAUCGUUUGCGAAGUUGAGGAUAAGGAGCUGGGGCUAUCGAGGGCCGUGGUUCGUAAACAAACACGUCCUUAGCUUGCGAACCAAAAGACAUGCGUGUUUCCGAUAAUGCUAAUAGGCCCAAUAGUACGAAACUGCAUAUGAGACUACGUACAUGGAAAUGCUCCUUUCGUCUAAGAUGGGAGAGUUCUAAGUGCAAUGCACCACUUUUAGCAUACCUAAAUAUAAUAAAAUAAGCUCUCACUAAAACACCACUAGCUUGGUACAUGCGAUUUUGAUCCAUUGUUAUCAUCUCAUAUUAUGAAUCUUUAUUAUUAUUGUUAUACAUCAUUAAUUAUGACCAGACACGCCCAUGUGCACUCAUUUUGGCAUCACAUCAUUGGAUUUUUUUUUUAUUUUUUUUUAAAAUUUUUACUUUUUUUUAUUGUUCUUAUAUAUAAUCAAAUCGCUUUCGUAAAAAAAAAUAAAAAAAAAAAAAUUAUACAUCCUAUAUCAAUCGAGAAGAACAAAACUCGCUACUUUAUCGAUGGCAAUGUGAACACCCAGAGAGUAAACAAAGACUCUUUAGAAUGUACAAUUUAGAUUUCGUUGUCACAAAUAAUGGAGUAUUAAAAUAGGUGCCAAACGAUAAGAUAUUAAAAAAGACACCUAUGUCACAAAUUUAUUGUACGAAUUACCAGAUUAGGGUUCCCAACAAGCACACCAAUUAUACCUAAACACCAAAUUGGUGCACUUAGACUCAUGUCUUUUUUAUCCUUUUUUUUUUUUUUUUCUUUUUGUCGUUUACUUAUACAAAGUAACUUAGCCAUUGGCCAUUUCAAAAUUGGUCCUUGAAGUUUACUUUUCUCUGAUUCUUUAAUAGCGGACAAAAUUUUGUCCAAAUUUUAAAAUAAGGUGUAAACCAUAUCAUCCGAAUUUCAUUAAAAAGUAAUAUUAAUUGUUGACAUAGUACAACAGAAUUAGAUUAUGGAGACACAUUUUGAAUACAUUUUUAUGUAAGUGUUUUAUUUAUAUCAAAAUCUUUUUUAAAAAAUAUAUUAAGAACUAAAUAUAAAGUCCAAUCCAACCAAAAAUAAAAAAUUUCUCUACUCAACUAAUCUCAUCCAGUUCACUCGACCGAUUACAAAUAGAAAAGAAAAAAAAAAAAUUUAUCACCAUCUCCCCUUCUCCUCCUCUGCCGCCGUAGUUGACAAGGCAAGGUUCCGGUGGUUGGAGUUUGGCAGCGAUCGAGGAUCUCGCAGGAACUGUAGAGGGCUACGAUCGCCACGUGUCCCUCCGCUGCAGGUCGCUAGAGGAGUGAGUGUCAAACAUUAAGGCGGCCCCACAUAUAACGACCCCACAUAUAACAACACUUUUAAAAAAUAUCGUUAAUUUAGCCAGCGAUAUUUUUUUUGACCUAUACCGAUAUUUAAAAAUAUCGUUAUACACCGUUUUUAUUCUAGCGACACAUAUCGCAUCUCUACAGCACAGGGUGAUCCCACUUUCUUAUAUCCAUCUACCAUUAAUACACAUCAAAUUAAUAACUUGCAUUUAAAACUCCGUCAAAAUUUUGGUGAAAAUUCAUCCACAGUUAUAUAAAUUCAAUCGAAAAACUAAAUUUCAGACAAAAUUUUGACGAAAUAGUUUGACAUAUCCCGUUAGUUCUAUAAUUGAACAACUAUACAAAUCACAAGUUAUAUAAUAUAUCUAAAUUUAAAUAAAAGCUUUUUUAAAACUGUUUGUCAACUAGUGUUUGUAAAAUUUUACUAGUAAUUUUACAAAUUCUUAUAAAGUUUUGGGGCAAGAAUAAUAAGAUAAUUAAUGAUUUAAAUAACAAAAAAAAGUGAAGCUUCUUUCAAAAUAAGGGCCCCACGAUUAAACUCAAAAGUCCACGCGCGAGAAAUUGAGUCCUUAAAAUCGAUUACAAAACAAACGUUACAAAAUUAACGGCUAAAUCAGAGCGCCCCCAACUACUUUUCAACUCCAUCGUACGGUCAACGCCGCGAGGAGACCGUGGACACCAUCAUUCCCUCUCCCUUAUUUAUUAUUAGAUUAAAUUAAUUUAAAUUAAAUCCACAACUAAUCAGUGUUUUAUUUAAUUACACCGCCGAGCCACUAAUUAAAGGCGUUCUUGAUCCUCCUAACUUUUCUCUCCCGCGCAACAAUUCCCUUUUAUGUUUUAUAAAUAUUAUUAUAUAUUAUUAUUAUUAUUCUCGAGAAGCUUUUUUUUUUUAUUAUUUUUGAGUAUCCAAAUGCAUAUUUUCCUCUGAAAAAUAAAACAAAAUUAUUCUCAUAUAGUAAUAUAGUUAAAAAAAACUAUUCUUGCGUUUUCUUACAAGAUAAAAUAAAAGUGUUUGUUUAGAAAAAUUAUUAUAUGUAAGUUAACUAUUAUUAUAAAAUAUAUUUUUUAGGACUGCGGCAUACGAAUUGAUCAAAAGGUUUAUGUUGCACGUAAAAAAACAUUCAAUCAACCGGCUCCACUUCAGUAAAAAUGACGGAAAAUUUAGAAAUUUUUUCAGCACAAUAGAAAAAGUUGUGAUUAAAAUUUCAGUUUUAAAAACAAUAAUCAUAUAUUAGAAAUUAUAAUAUUGACCAUUCAAAGAUAUUGUCUAAUAGAUUUAGUCAAAAGUAUAAAAAAUCACAAUAAUAGUAAUUUCUGCUCCCAAGAAUCAAGCAUUUGAGCCCUAGAUUAGCAAUUAAGAUAACAACUAUUAGCCUAGUGGUUAGUUAAUGAUACUUUUAUCACGAGUUCAACUUUUCAACAGUACAUAGAUAGUGUACACGACUAACUUUUUAGUUUUUAGAUUAAAUACUAUUCUAUCUUUCUUUACUAAACCUUUCAUAUUUAAGGUAAACUCGGUGCUGUCGAAUAUACCGUUAUUCUACUUUGCGAUAUUCAAGGCGCCGCAAUGGGUUCUGAACCGUAUAGAAGCCUUGAGAAGAUCCUUCUUCUGGAAAGGAUGGCCCAAAAUUUCAGGGGGUUCAUGUCUAGUCGGAUGGAAAUCGAUAUGUAAAAGCAAAAAGGAAGGGGGAUUGGGGAUCAAGGAGAUGGAAGCAAUGAAUACGGCUCUAUUAACCAAAUGGUGGUGGCGUUUCUUCAAAGAGCCGCAGCUGCUUUGGGGGAGGUUGAUUAAAUCGUUAUACUAUACUAGAAGACGGCCGUUACACGAGGGAAGAGCCUUCAGACCAUACUCCCAGUGGUGGAGAAGUGUGAUGAGAUGUCGAGAGGUAUUCAAAUGUGGCGUUUCGUAAUGUGCCGGUGACAGAGUAAAAACCUCAAACGGUCCAGAUAUUUCGGAUUGAAGAAAAGCCCACUGAGUACUUCAUUCCUGAACUCACAUUCCAAUAUUGUCAAUAAGGACUCACAAGUUCAACAAUGGCGGAAUAAAAAGGUGAGAUGGCGAUUUGAUAACCAAACCUAGAUAUAAAUUACGCCUAGGACAAUCGCCACCAAUGAAUGUUUGUUCAAAAACCUACUUCCGUCGAUAUUGUCCAUCGACACACCAGACACAAUCAAAUGGAAUGUGACUUCGGCGAAUCGAAAGUUUACUGGUUAAAUCCCUAUUACAUUCAUCACCGUGAUCAGUUAGAGAGACUCUAUGUACGUCCACUCUCUGGAGCUCCAAAUUCCGACAAAAUCAGAAUAUCAUUUGACCUCCUUCGUAAAAAUUGCUUGACCGCGGACAGAUUAAUCUCGACAAGCCAGCAAAUGUCGAACAUAAAAUGUGUAACUUUUGCGCUAAUAGCUAAACAUGUGAUCACACUAUUUCGGAUUGGUUUUCGUCAAAAGAUACCUUUUAAAUUCAAUACGGACUGCAAUAAUAAGCGAUCGAAACAGGGAUUCCGCUCGCUUUUGGUCAAGAUAGGGACAUCCGCGAAUGCCGGCUGCGUAGAGAAAAAUCUAACCCGUUUGUGCAAUCUGGUGGGUGGUCAGGACAGAGCGAAACAACAUUAUCUUUCGGGAGGUGAGUCCCAACGCUACCAGGGCGCUUGAACGAGUCAACUCCUUGAAUAGAGACUGGACCGAGAUUCCUUGACCCUUCAGGAUUAUCCCCUCCCUUCGUGAGGUGUUUAAAGUUACCCCGUUGUCUAGUCUUACUCUCACAUAACGGUAGGUGCAGUGUUCUUUACUUUUUUUUGGUCGGUUUUUUUUUUUGUCGGUCUUUCUUGUACCUGUUUGUCGGUCUUUCUUGUAUCCAUUCGGACCUUUUAGGAGACCCUAGCUGUCUCCAACUUGUACGCUUAGUUCAUUUCGCUUAAUGAAUGAAGCAGAUAGCUUGCUACCUUGUUCUCAAAAAAAAAAAAAAAAAAUUGACGGUAAAUACCAUCCACAUGCUUUUGGAAGCGCUCUAAUUAGGCGUCAAUUAAUAUUGCUCUUAUAACAUAACAUUAUAUAAUAGUACAAGGAAAGAUAUAAAUACUUUUUUAAAAAAUAAUGCUACUUUAUAUACCUAAAAAUAGGUCCCCCACACGUCCAAUGGACGGAGUUGAAUUACUAGUUAUAUUAAGUGACCAGGAAAUGAAAAGCUUCGAAAACCAACAUUUUCUUGUGUAUUUAAAAAGGCAUCAUGGGCCGCUGAGCCUCAAAGGCCCAAAAAGUUGGCGCGUUCCCUUCUGCUUGUCCCUGUUUCCCAGCGUUGCCCUCCGUUUCACUCCCCCUUCCACUUUAGGCGCCGCCUCUCGACCGAAUCGAGCUGCUUCGAGCCACGGCAAUGUCGCGGCGAAGCGCUUUUUACUUCGCGAAGAGCUUCUCCUCUCGCCGCGGCGCGAUCUCCCCCUCCUCCUCCUCCUCCUCCUCCUCCUCCUCGGAGAUCUCGGAGCAUGGACGGGGCCUCGCCGUCGCCGGAGACGACGAGGGUGCGGCGGCGGAGGAGGGGCGGUGGGCGAGGAUGCUCCCGGAGCUACUGCGGGAGAUCAUAAGGAGGGUGGAGGCGAGCGAGGAGCGGUGGCCGCUGCGGAAGAGCGUGGUGGCGUGCGCCUGCGUGUGCCGGAGGUGGCGCGAGGUCGCCACGGCCGCGGUGGCGCCGCCGCGGAUCACCGGAAAGAUCACGUUCCCUUCUUCCCUCAAGCAGGUGGAGCUAGGGUUUCUUUCUGUGGUCCCCCUCCUCUUAUCGAUUUACCCCUUUUUUAAGUUGAUUGACAUGGAUUCCAUCGCAAAAUCAUAGUUCUAUUUGAUUGUUCCUGCGAUUUUCUUAUGAAGGUUUUCUCGUUCCUUCUUCCGAUUCCUUAUUCAUUUUGGCGGUAUAGUGUUGCUGGACGAUGGAUUGCGUGAGUAGUGCUUUUGAGAGAAGUACUACGCUAAAAUUCCUUAAACAUAUUUUCUCUAUGGAAGUAGAAGCACCAAAUUGGAGGUUCUACUUUUGGACUUUAGAAUCUAAUAUCUGAUUCCUGCAGUAGCAGAAGCAUCAUGAUCAAACUUUCAUAUUUGUCAAACACUACUAAACACGGCUAAAAAUGACAUUUGGUAAAAGCAGAAGCAGAAGCGAAAUCAAACAGGCACUUAUUGAUUGAACUAUUUAGAUUAGCUUUCCUUUUUAUUAUAUUUAUUGGGAAUUUCUUUUCUUGACUAAUAUCUAGUUGAUUUGAUGUCAAUAACAGCCGGGUCCGCGGGAACUUCCGAUCAAGUGUUUUAUAAAGAGGAGCAAGAAGAACUCCACUUUCUAUCUCUACCUCAGCUUGACCCACAGUAUGUGAAAAUUCCAACUCAAUUCGUAUUUCUCUCUACAGGAUCUUUUUCCAUUGCCUUGUAGAAUAGGGUAGAUAUUGGUCUGCAUUGACUAAGUUUUACUUCUCCAUAGAUGGUUUGCAGUGCUCCAUCAGCAUGAAAAGUCAAAAUCUGACCUUUGUGUUGUUUGAAUUCAACGUUGCCAUCGCCAUAGCACUGUUCUUGUUAUUAGUAGCAUUCAAGUUUGUUAGUCUCAACACACCUCUAGAAGCUCUUUGCACAUCUUAAUCAGAUGAAUAAAAUGUAUGUGUAGUUGUUUUACUAUCUCGAUAUUGUAACUUAGCCCUUAUGCUCUUCAUCCAAAUGCUUUAAUGCACAAAAUUUUGUCCGUAUUGCGUAUUCAUCCUUGACAGUUUGAAAAUCUGACUUCCAUUCUAAAAUAAUCUUUUAGUCCUACUUGAAAUAAAUUGGAGCGAGUCAUUAUGCCAUGAUGGGUUAAAAUGGUCAUUUUAUGAGAAAAAGAGACUUGCAUUGAUGGCAAGGGAAUAAAGUGCAAUAUAUAGGAAAUUUUGUCAAUAUCAAAGAGAAACAUCUGGAAAUUGUGUUAUAAUUGGUGAAUAAAAUGACUUGGUUGAGCCUAAUAUGACUAAUCAGAGAUGGUCAAGGUGAACAUUUAUCUAUUCAAGUACGGACCACAACUUGGCUUUUUGUUAGCGGACUGCAACAGACACAGAACAAUGUCCUUCCAGUACUUAGGCAGAGGUCAAUAUCCAUGUGAUGUGGUGGGUUGGGAGACGUUAAAUGGUCUGUAAUAAGUUGCAGUACAUUUGAAUAUUGUAUCUAAACAAUUUUGCCCAUAAGUAGUAUCUUUUUCAGAUGACUUAGAUGAAUCUGUUGGCUAUGCUCAAUUUUGAUUGAUAAUGGUAAUGCAUGAACAAAUGUAGUAUUACUUGUUGGUUUUGUCCAUUUUAAUCCUAGGCAUAAAGAUUUUAUGUGGAAUUCACCCAUAUUUGUCUAUACAGUUAAGGGGAAAGCCCUUGUUUCUGUUAUACCUGGAUAAAUAUUAACUUUCCAGUUAUUUCUGUACAUUCAUGAUGAUUAAUAUUAGUUCAAACAAAAAAAAAAUGAUGACUAAUAGUAGUGACUCUACUUUAAAUGCCAUUUGCUCAUUAGUUUAGAGCUUUUGAAGGUAAUAAAAAUUUACGCUUCUUGGUUUAUAUCUAAAUAGCUUGAUUUAUAUGUACUACUAUCUGGACUAUGUCCCAAUUGCUAAACUGCUAAAUUUUUAUAUUGGUUUUUUCUCAUUUUCUAGCUUGCCCAAGAAAUUAGUUUCCUUCCUAAUGAUACCAACUUGUAGAUUUACAUGUACAUAUCUUUGUCACAUUCUAAUGGUAGGUACUUCUACACAGAGUUUGUUAAAAUCUGUGCUUCUUACCUACAAAAUAAUGGUUAACUGCUGCUUUUCUCUGUGGUGUUAUUUAUUUGUUGAUAGUGAUGUUUUAUUGUAACUGCUUUGAAAUAUCUCUUGUACAUUCUGAAAAGAUCUGUUUCCUUAGCCAUUUCAACCUCCUGUUUGGUAAGUGAAGGGAUCAUAAUAAUAACCAAACAAGAAGUUCAGUUGCAACGCUAUUUAGUUGUUGUCGUGACCCCGUGCGGUACUUCCGCUCUAGAACCAUUUUAAUGAUGAUAUUUGACUGUAAUAAGCAGCGAACAAAACAAUUUAUGGUGUCUAUUAAUCAUCGAGUAGAUGAUAUUGAUUUUUGUUAUGAUGGCAUGAGAAUGGAUGAUACUGGUUUUUUGUUUCAUUAAUUCUGAUAUCGCAUUGUACUAUCUUGUCAAAGUCUCAGCUUGAUAGAAGAUGGUUUAUACAAUAGAUUUUUCAGUUCUAGUAAUAAUCUUUUUUCUUUUAACUCCAAUUUCCCUCCCUUGUUUUGCCACCAGUAGGAAGUCCAGCUUAUAUCAUCUAUUCUUGCAUUCUUGCAGCACUUGUAGAUAAAGGAAAGUUUCUCUUGGCAGCUCGGAGAUAUAGGUAUGGCGCCUAUGUUGAGUACAUAAUCUCUCUUGAUGCUGAUGAUCUGUCGCAAGGAAGUAGCGCAUAUAUGGGGAAGUUAAGGUGAGCUUGUUUGUUAUCAUCUUCAGUAUUUUUAAGCACCUACACACACCACAAUUGUAGCAUCCCCUGCUUUUCCUCCUUUUUUCUUUCAUUUGCAAUAAAUAGCACUGUGUUUUAAAUUUGUUUUAUCCUAUCUAGAAAUAUCAAUUGAUAUAUUCAGAUAUUUUACAUACGUACUGUAAUUCCUUCAGGUCAAAAGCUAUCUUUUCUCUUUCUUCUCACAGAUCAGAUUUCCUGGGCACAAAAUUCACAAUUUACGACAGCAACCCACCAUUCAGUGGUGCAAAAGCCUCGUGUACCCGAGCUAGUCGUCCAUUUGCCUCCAAGCGGAUAAGCCCACAACUCCUAUCUGGAAAUUUCGAAAUCGGUCAGGCAUCUUACAAACUGAACCUCCUGAAAUCAAGAGGGCCUCGAAGAAUGCUGUGCACACUACAAUCUCCUUAUUCAGCCCACAAACCUUUGGGCAAGGAAGAACCACAUAAGUUCUCAAAAGCAGAAAACCUGGAUUCCGGCUUCAUAGUUCUGCGGAACAAAGCUCCGAGAUGGCACCAGCACUUACAGUGCUGGUGCUUGAACUUCCAUGGACGGGUCACGGUUGCCUCGGUGAAGAACUUCCAGCUGGCGGCCACGGCCGACCCGAGCCAAGAAGGUGGCGUGGGUGACGAAGAGACCGUGCUGCUCCAAUUUGGUAAAGUCGGGGACAAUUUGUUCACCAUGGAUUACAGGGAGCCGCUCUCAGCUUUCCAGGCGUUUGCAAUUUGCCUAACCAGCUUCGGCACGAAAUUUGCCUGCGAGUAAAGCGUUCACUUGCUAGUCGUUUUGCUUGUGGUGCUUUUAUGCUGCUGUGGCACUGAUGUUGGGAGAUAGGUAUUUCGCUAUCUUGCUAUGUAUCUUACACUAAUCGCGUCGAAAGUGUUAACAACUGUGAUAAAUGUAGACUCUAAGCUACCAUAAAGAAAUGAAAAGAACAUCUAUCAUAUGCUUCUUUUGCGCGGCAACAAACACAUCCCCCCAGCGAAUACUAGAAAAUCAACAAGGUUUCCUGACUGGCCAUGGUUCUCGCCAUGAGAAAAUCCUGAUGUGCGCUUCGGGAAGGUGUUUGUUGACGCGUAAAGAAGUGUUAGUAGUUCUUGUAUUUAGUCCAUCUUUAUCAUAUUAUACCUGGUUUAAUCCAUUCAUACUAUCUCAUUUUGAGAAUACUCUGCGGUUUUCAGAAAUCUAUUUGAUUGCGUUAAAGAGUAGUAACAAGCAACAUAAAGGGCCCAGUAAAAUAGCUUAAGAAAAAUAGGGUCUACAUGCUUUCUUGUUGACCAGAGAGGAUGUGUGGACAAUAUGAUAAUUUAGGAGGCAUUUUAAAAUUUAAAUCAUACUAAAUUAAGUUAAGAAAGUAUAUAAAAGGCAUAACCAAGGUGAUAUAAAACAAGGUUAUUGUGUUGUUCGUUCAUUUGUAACUCUAAUUAUAACUAGAGGGUUCAUGUUCUGAAUUUUGUCAGAAACAAAUAAGAAAUUUCUCUUGUAAGCCCUACAAUUAACCACUGCUUGGCUCUUUUCUCUUCAAUCUUUUGGCAGAAAAAUGCAUUUUCUUCUUCUUUUUUUUUUUUAUGUUUGAGAAUAACGAAUAAUGAAUAGGCUGCUUGUACACCCCACAUUCUCUAUCGAAUCAAUUGUUUAUGUAAUAAUAAUAAUAAGAAACCAACCGUCCCUAGAGCAAGUGACAAAGAAUUUGGUGGUUGAUACAUGAGACCCAAGUUCGAAUCCUAGUUGAUUCACAUUUCCAGCUAAGUUUAUUUUUAAAUAAAAUAAACGAAAUGGGUAGUGUGCUAUCUAUCUCUCAAAAAAAAAUAAUAGAAACAAAUUCAAAUUUUAGGCGUAUGAUAUACAAUGUUACUGACCGUACAUACGUACGUUGGUUAAGUGUCUGAUAAUUGAUAUCCAAAGUUUUAUAUUUAAAACUUAGUUAUUUUGUAUUUCAAACUAAAUUUAUUUUUGAAAAAAAAAAAUAGUGUUACUUUCCUGCUUACAUGAUGCAUGGGCCUUCUGGGCCCAUUUGAGUGGUUCUAAUGAUUACAUAAUCCAACUAAAGCGUCCAGCUUCUGGGUUUUACUCUAUCAAGGUUGUUUUCACGAGUAGGUCUUGUGUGCUGUUAGGAGUACGGAGGUUUCCGUGCUCCUAAGCAGUUUUCGAUAAUAGAGCUUUCGAAUCGACGAUCGGCUUCGUUAGACUUGAUCUAGCGUAUUUGAAGUAUCUAGAAAAUAAAUUUUACGAUUUUUCAAUAUCAUUUACCUAGCGAUCGAAAGAGUUCAAAAUCAACGGUUGAAAAUAAAAAUCUCCCAAAAAAUGGUGAUAUAGCACUAAAAUUUUCGAUCAGAGAUAUUGAUCUUGCUAUAAAUAGCAUAAAAAAUUUUCUAGCAAAAUUUCAUCCGAUUUGAAUACUUUUACACCGUUAAACUUGCAAACGGUAUAUAUCAACCAUUAAAAAUUGUUGAUUUUAAACCCUUUUGAUCGCCAGGUAAAUGAUAUCGAAAAACAGCAAAAUUUAUUUUCUAGAUACUUCAAAUAUAUUAGAUCAAGUCUAACGGAGCCGAUCAUCGAUUCGAAAACUCCAGCAUCGAAAACGGCUUAGGAGCACGGAUGCCUCCAUACUCCGAAUAGCACACAAGACCUACUCUUGUUUUCACUUUACAAGUGCAAAAGAUAUCCAGCUUUGUGACAUUCGAACUACGGAAUUUUUGGAUUAGUGCAAAGAUCCCCAAUCUCGGAAGGAACAAAUCAUGGAAUUAUCUUAACACACAUAAAUACAAACAUCUCUCCAUUGUUUUAUGCCCGUGUCAGAUUAUAUAUAUAGGGAUGAGCGUCGUGCGACAAAAUGAAGACCAUAUAUAGUUAUAUACUCAAUGCAUAUUGUAUAUAUUGAGAUAUAUAUGUACAUAUAUAAUAAUUGGGACCAGAGAAAGAACGGGGUUAAGGACACAGUGGGUGAGCUCGGGCUAAUAAAAUGCCUACGUUUGCGGCGGGUCUUUAGCCAAUGCAGACGAGCUUCGGUUCUCGACGAUCCACCGUUGUCGGGUGAUGGGCGUCAGUGCGCAAAAAGACAAUCUUUUUUUAAGUGCGAGUACACGCACCCCUCAUGUGGAAACUAUAUAUUGAGAGAGAGAGAGAGAGAGAGAGAGAGAGGAAAAGGUUACCACUAAAAUCUCUGCUUAGCACGCUUACCAUUGUUUAUUACUGGGAAAAGAAUAUUUUGGUAACUCCUAACCAUUAGAGUUUCAACAUGUUAGCAAACUCACGUAACAUUUUAAGUAUUGCAUGUAUUUAUGAACUAAUUAAAAUUUUUCAUGUCAUGCAUGCAAACAAAUAUAUUGAAUCAACGUUAUAAAAAGGCUGGAGUAGUAUAUUUAUUUAUUUGUUCAAAAAUCAGCAUAUAAAUUUUAAAUGUUGCUUAUAUGCUUGCAAUCCCACGAGACAUGUAACAGUACUAUAGCAUGAGUAUCCAGGUCUUUAGUUUUCUUUUUUUCACAUAGGAAUAUUUAACGCUCUUUAUUCAACCAGUGUUUUUAAUUUUAAAUAGUAAAGUAUAAGUAAAAAAAUAUAAUUUGAUGAGAAGAACUUAAACGAAGAACAUGCAAACUCUUUCCCUGUAGAAAUUGAUCAUCUCAUAAGUGGGGGCGUAGUGAGGAAUAUUGUUCCGUUCCCUCUUAAUUAGGUGUCCUAAGAUCUUAAGAGUAGGGUCAUCUCAUGUGCUCUGCUUAAAAGGGUAGGUUUAAGUUGGUGAAAAUAAUAGGUAAAAAUCGUUGAGGGAAUAUCUUGCUUUGUGUCUUUUUAUUAUAUCCCAAGGUACUUUUAGAAUAGAGCAUUAAUUAAUUAAUGCUUCCUCUACAACGUCCAGGGACGGAGCAACAAUUUUAAAUUUUGAAAGGGCCAAUCAAAAAAUUUAUUUUAAUGAUUAUAUAUUGAAAAUCAGUAAUUGAUGAUUAAAUGUGUUUUUUUUUUCAGAAAAAAAUUGAUACAACCACCUUUGAAUAUCACUCCUUUUUUUUUUCCUUUAAACAAUUAAUUAGGGUCGAAUAAACCUAUAGAGAUUGUUAUAAUCCUAGGAUGAAGGAUUGCACAGAUAUAUUACAAUCCAAAAUGGAUUGUAAACAUGGUCUACAACCAAAAAGGAUUGCAGGAUUAUAACACUUAAUCUAAGAAAUAUUAUAAUUCUACCCUCUUGAUUUAUGCAACUAUUCUUGAAGUUUAGUUAUAAUAUAAUUAAAAAGACUAAAUAAGUCGUAAGAUUAGAAAUAAACCAUCGGUCCCUAAUUUUUAUCUAAUUUUUUGGCUCAAGUUUUUAAAUUUUUAAUAUCGUAAUUAAGUUCCUUAUAUUUUUAUUUAUUUAAUUAAACUUUUACUAUAAAAAUUUUCAUUCUCAUGGCAAGAUUUGGUGAUGGCAUAGUAAAUAUAAAUAUUUACAAGUAUAAAUUAGUGUAUAUAUAUAACAAGAAAAAGAAAAUGCCAAGCAAUAAGCUGGCUUUGCUCAUGAGAAUAUUCUCAAUUUUGUAUAAAUACACAUCAACUACGCAAGGAACAAACAUAAAUGUAGUUGAUAAUUGACUUAGCAUGCACAUUAUAUUAAUCCUUAGUUAAAGCCCAAAAGUUACUUAGUUAAUCAACUAGUUAAUGUGUACUUCAUGAGUUUAUGAGCUUAUAAUUAAUAUGCCCACCCAACUUGCGUUGGGUAUUAUAUAAUAAGCCAAAUUAACUUUAAUUUAUCCACCCAACUAGUGCACAAGUAUCCCACUGGCUAGCCUUAAGAUCCCAAUUAAUAUGAGUUAAUUAAAAAUAACUCUCCAAGGAAUUUGGUAAUUUGUGUUAUAAUUAAUUUAAGAAGCUAUAUAUCAUUCUCCAGAGGUUGGCAACAUGAAGUUUUCCUUACCGACCGUCCCUAGAGCCAGUAGCAAAGGGUUUGGUGGUUGGUACUAGAGAUCCCAAGUUCGAAUUCACAUUUUCAGCUAAGUUUAUUUUUAAAUGAAAUAAACGAAGAAGGUAGCAUGCUAUCUAUCUAUCAAAAAACAUAACGUUUCCUUUUUUAUGCAUCCACUGUAUAUAUGUAAAGUAUUAAUACAAGUAUGAAUAACUCAAUAUAUAAAAGAAUGUAAAAAUGUAUAUAUGGAGAUCCCCUACCUAUUUGUUAUCUGGAAGUCGGCCUGCAUUCUGAAACCACAAUAUUUCUUAACUUAUUUUAUUUUUGUUAUUUUAAUAAAUUAAGUUUAGAUUAUAUCUAAUUUUAUUGAGAUUAUUUCUAAUUUUAGUGAAUUUGUAUUUUUAGUUAAUUAAAAUUUAGUAAUUAUUAUAAAUAUACUUUUUAUUCCAUUGAUUUAGUGUGACAGGGAUGAAAGAGUAUGAUUGUAUUUUUGAGACUAGAGUUUUAUAAGAUAGACAUAUUUUACACAUCACUUGGAUUAUAAUAAAAGUCUCCACUCUGUUUUCGCCCAUGUAAAUAUGUGCUUUAUUUUUUUCCUCUCUUUAUCGGUUCUCUUUUGAAAUUUUCAUAUCCGACGAAUUUGAUAUUUUUCGCUUUUAUCAUAACAAAUUGGUUUAAAAAAAAAUCUGAUAUCGGUGUGAGUUGCAGAUUUCUAAUACCUUUCAUUUUUUUUGUUGGACACUAGCUUUCUCAACUUUCCAUUCGAUUAAUUGGAAUUAUCUUUCUAAAUUAAAUUAUGGAUUCAUCAAAACUAACAACUCGGUUAAUUAGCUAUUAAUCCUUAAUUAGUAACUAAUAAAAUCGGCAUAUAUUUCAGCUGAAAAGGGUUAGAAAGUAGCUAAAUUCAUCAAAAUUAACAUUAAAUUUAGUACCGACCGUCCCUAGAGCAAAUGGCAAAGGGCUUGAUGGUUGGUACCCGAGACCCAAGUUCGAAUCUUAGUUGAUUCACAUUUCCAGCUAAGUUUAUUUCUAAAAUGAAAUAAACAAAACGGGUAGUGUGCUAUCUAUCUCUCAAAUAAAUUUAGUAUAAAAUCCAAUUACCGAUUUGAUAUAUAUANUAUAUAUUAAAAAAAUCAAAAGUUUUAAAAAGUCCCAAUCAAAAUAAAAAUAUUUAUUCAUGGGACGAAUUUUAAAAUGAUCAAUAGUUGAGGGGCAUACAUAUACAAUUUUUUUCCCCUAAAAGCAACUAUCCCGAGAUUCUCCCACUCCCUUAUAAACAAACCCUAAAGUCAACUCUCCCAUGCAGGCGUCGAGACAAAUUAACGAUCAAGUUAAUUUGGAAAUUGUAAGCACGAGACUCGAUCUCUUAUGACGUUAUGGUCGAUUAUUUAUUAAUUGUUUAUUAUUAUUAUCAUAAUUUUAGGUACAACAAGGACAAAUUAAUUAGCAUGAUACUUGUAGCACAUAUAUAAUAUGCAACAUAAUAUAGUUGUUAAUUGCAUAGAAUAUUAGUUUGGGCCCUGGAAUAUUUGUCCUUUAAUACCAUAUGGAAUCUCUUAAUGUGUGGGAGUAUGCUUGUCGAUAGCGCACACAUAUCCAUAUAUAUUUAUAUGUGUGUGCACUACUAAUUAAUUAAACAUAAUUAAGUUGAAUAGUGCAUGGAACUAAAUCAGCUAACCCUCGGAGAGUUUCUUGUUUGCGUUAUUAUAGAUAUUAUGUAACCAAUUAAUAGUGUAUUACACGAAGUUCUACUUCUAUUUUAAGUCGUUUUUAAUAAAAAGAUUUAAUAAUAUAAAGAAAUGGAAAGGCUAAAAUAAGUUUUUGAAUCUUAUGAAAACUUUAGUUUUGAGUUUUGCUUUCACUCUAUUUAGAUAGAAGAGAUUGAAGGUUAAUUAGUUAGAUGAGUUUUCCUAAUAAUUUUAUUCAAAUAUUUUUUAACAAAACACGAUUUGGACCCAACGUACAAAUCCUCAGGUUAAUAAUUUUAUUUGCUUGUGUCAUCUUUUAGUACGUGUUUGGUUUGUCCUUUUUUGACUGAGGAAUUGGAAUCAGAAUGGACGAAUCCGUUUGUCGGUAUUUGGUAUGCGGGAGUUUCAUUUCGAUUUCGAUUUUCGGAAUUUUCGGGCGAAUGAAAAUUCUUCAAUCAUCUUUUUUUCCAAUCUUAUCUAGAAGGCCGAAUUAAAAAUUGAAUUCGGAGAGAAAGAAUGCACUUUACGAAAAUAUCUCAAUUAUAUUUUAUAUAUUUAUUUAAAAUUAAAUUUAAUCAUUUGACUUUAAUUUUUAAUUUAAAUUUAAAUUUAGAAAUUAAAUUUCUAAUUCUAGAUUUUUAUUUAGAAAUUAAAUUAAAAUAUAAAUUGAAUCAAGCAUUUUGAAUUUGAUCUGUAAAUUUAAACUUAAAUUUAGUUGUAAAUUCGAAUUUGAAUCAAAUGAAAAUUUAGUUUUAUAUUUUGAAUUGUCCACUCAAUUUUAAUUUUUAAUUUUUUUUGACAUUUAAAAUUUUAGCUUAUCAUUUCAAUAUUUUCAUGUAAGUUUUUAAUAUUUAAUUUUUAGUUUGAAUUUAAAUUUAUAAAUUUAAUUUUAUAUUUUGAGGUGCAAACUCAAUUUUAAAUUAUUUUUAUAUUUUGUAUUUUAAUUUUAAUUAUUUUUUGAUUAUUAAAAUCUUUUAAAUAUUGAAAAUACGAAUCAAUCGUACCAAUUUCUAUUAUUAUUCUGACAUAAACAUAUUUGGAAGAUAUAUUAUAUCGUUCCUUUUUCGAUUCUUGUCCAUUCCGAUUUUCAUUCCGACUCUAUUUUUCAUUUUAAACCAAACGCGCCCUUAAAUUGCACUGUUUCCUUUUUGGUUAGAUUCAUAUCAUGGAAAGUUUUAUGAGUUUUAUUGGAGUCAUAUGCGCGCAUCAACAAAAAUAGUAACCACAUAUAGAUAAGCUCAAUGUAUAUCACUGAAAAAAUUAGUAGGUUCUAAUUCAGAUAGAGAUCAAAUCAAAUUAAAUUGUGUAAAAAGAUUCGGAGUCUCGAGAUGUCAUGUAGCCUGUCACCUAAUCCUCUCCACGAUUCCCUUCAUUAUCGUUGACCUCGUCUUCUCCCGAGGCCUAAUUAAUUUUGUACAAAUAAAUUAACCAAUAUCAUAAAAUUAGAAUAAUAAUAAUAAUAACAAUACUAUUAUUAUUGUAUAAUUAAGGGCCAAAACCCUUCAAUAUAUAUCACAUGCAACGACGUACGUACGUAUACUAGCUCGCAAAUUCACACUACUCUACGUUGCGAAAGCUCUAAUUAAUUACAGUUUAUAUGUGGGUUAUUUGAUUGUGUAAAGUUAAUGGUUGGAACGAUUAGGAGAAGGACAAGAGAAAGGGGAUAUGAUUGGCUUUUAAUUGUGAGACAAACCUUCCUGUUUCGAUACUUCCGAGUAUGAAACGCUCUCUCUCUCUCUCUUUUUAUGUUUUUUUAAUAUAUAUAUAUAUAUAUAUAUAUACUUGGCUCCAUGCCCAAAAUAUUCUGUCUUUUUUGUUUGAAUAUGAGAGGUGUACAAACAUGUGAUUAAAGAUCCAUAAUAUCAUCAAGGGUUUCUUUUCUAUUAGUCUAAUUAAUGAUAGAGUUGUUAGUAGUGUUAAGACUGUAGAUCUCAGUGCGUGCUAUAAACUCAUUUCGAAUUGUAGGUCUUUUGAAUUAAUGAUUUACUAAUGAAGUUAUCCGCAUAUUGUGGCGGGCUGAUAAUAUAAGAGACAAAAGAUUGACAAUGUAAAAUAUUUUAAAAUUUUUGAUUUGUCAUGAGAAAUCAAUAAAUACAAACAAAAAAUAUGAAACAGAUAUAACAAAAUUUAUAAUUUCAGCAAAUAAAUUAUAUAUAAUAAUAAUAAAAAAUAGUAAUAAAACACUACUCUAUAUACAUCUUAAUUAUGCUGCGGAUAUCGGGAAAUCGAAUCUUGAUCUUCACUUCUCAUUCGCCGUCAUUGUCAGCGUCGAGCUCCUCUUUAGUCAUGACAAUACAUAUCUUAUUUUAUUUAUUUUUUUUUAUAAAAUUGAUUUGUAAAGAUAACGAUGAAUGUGAAUAUAUUAAUUAAGAAAUAGAUACGUGGGAAGACGAAAUAUCGCGCGGAAAUAAAAAUUAAUAAAUUCGAUCAUUAGGAAUGAGGAAGAAGGUAAGGAUGAAGAAGGCUUUGCCUCGUGGCAAAGUUUAUAAGGAAUAAUAUAUAGAAGAUAUAAAUAUAAAUGUUACUAAAUUUGAUGUAAGAUAACUAUCAUUUUUACAAAGUAUAUAUUGAGGCCUCACUAGAUAUUGUGUUUAUUUUUAAAUUUUUUUAAAAAAUAGAAUUUUGUAUAUUAAAAGAUCUAGAAGUGGACAGUAAAUGACUUGCAAUAUUUACUUGAUAAUUAAUAAAAAAACAAAUAACUAGUUGAUGUCAAAAAAAAUUAUGACGUCUUUAGAGACUUCAAAUAUGAAAAAUGUAAUUAAUGGUGUUGAUUAGUGAAUCAAAUUAUUGAACAUUAAAAUUGAGAUUGUAGCAUGAAGAUCUUAGUGCUAUUAAUGGCACCCCGAUCUAGCUAUUGUUUAAGAUUUGUAAAGUAGGUUGAAGUUUUUGCUGCAGCAUGCAAAAAAUAAAAUUCUUAACCAAUUAUAUUUCAUAAAAAUUAUUAAAAAUAUUCUAAUAUAAUCAAAGGCUCUUACUAACCACAUGGGAAAUUCUCGCUAGCCGUGGACUAAAUUCCACAUGACCCAAGGGAUAUAUCAAGCUGUUGAUCUCUGACCCUCUCCACCACUUCUUAAUCACUUAAAAAGAGAAAAUGAUUCCUUAGAUGAUACAUUGGUGUCCCAAAGCUAUUCCAAUGUUACCUCUUCAUGUGAGGAAAAGAAUCAGCAUGGCAAGCACAGGAUCAUGCUCUUAAGAUCCAUUUGGUAGCGAGGGCUAUUUAAUAUUAUUAGACUGAAAGAAAAUUGGAGAAAAAGGCAUGUAAAAAUGUGCUACUCUAUUUUUUAGUGCGCAGUAAAGAUUAUAUCUUAGUUGAAUCUAAUACAAUCUAUAAAACAUGUUAUUUUUUUAUAGAAAAAAAAAACAUAAUAUUUUUCUAUUACAUGCCUAACACAUCGCCCUGCAAUAUCAGAUGGAGCCUCAGUUGGCAGAGAGCCUGCAUUAGCGGUCCUUCUAUGUGAGUACGUCGGAUUCUCGAAGACUCAUCUCCAACUUGCCUCACAACUUGUCAUGAGUAUUUCUCUAAAUUAAUCCUGUAUUUAACUACCACCUGCUAUUGUCUUUUGAUGUAGAAUAAUGCUAAUGAGGAUCAUGACAUAUAUAAUAUUUUUUUUUUUUGAGAAUAGGUAGCGCGGUACCUGCUUCAUUCAUUAAAGAUAUGAAUUAGGCUACAGGGAUGAGACAACCAGGGCCUCAAAAAAAAAAAAUAGUUUUGAUCCGCAUUCGUUGAAGAUAUGAAUUAGGCUAUAGAGGUGAGACAUAUAUAAUGUUUUGAUCCGCAAUAUGUUACAUUUUGGUGUAUGUACGAGGCUUCGACUGGACCUGAUUUUACUAACAUAUUUAAAUUUUAUUAUCUAACUCCCUGUACCUAUGACUUAAAUCUUUUUCUUUGGUGCUUUAUGAACGAGAUAGUAUGAUAACAAGAUGAAUUAGCUAGGGUUGGAAUCUAUCGAACCUUAAACUUGUAGAUUUGGACCAAACAAUAUAUACAUCGAUAUUAUUCACUUCCUUCGAUAAAUUUUAAUGUGGAUUAACUAUUAUAUAUUCAUAUGUGUACAUCUAGCAAGUUUAUAUUUAAAAAUAAAAUAAAAUAAAAAUAAGAUAACGAGUAGCACUCAAGAAUUUGGGAGGACUAGCUUCGCACUUUUUUAUCAAAUGCUUAAUACAAGGAAAUUGUUUGAGCAUAAUGACCCUAGUUACGUACUCGAUCGGCCAUUACGGGCCAAGAGUGCCACUCUUUUCCUUAAAUUGGUUGAGCCAUUGCGGCAAACCUUAGCUAAUGCACUAGCAUGGUUUGGUUUAGAUCCAAGUCAAACCCAUUUUACUUUACCCUGAUAUAUAUGUGUGUGUGUAUAUGUACACAAACACACACACACACACACUAAAGUUUAUUUAAUCUUAUUAAAAUUUGAACCCACCUUAUUCAUUACCAACACAAUGCUACGCUAAUGUAGGUGAAAUGAAGAGAAACUUCUUGCACGGGUGGUUGGAUCAACUUUCCACAAGUAAAACCAUGAAAAACGUGAACAGUACGUUCUCCAUGUUCGUUCGUGUCAUCCUUUUUUAGCUCACCUUAAUAAUUACCGCAUGCACACUAUGCACCAUCUCGAACCGUACGCCGUCCCCUUCUUUCCAUCUAUUUCACAUCAUGUUCAAUCUUCAUCGUCCAAUAUAUAAAAUAUUUUUUAAAUUUAAAUAUUGAAAUAAUAAUUUGGAUGAUUAGAUUUGAAAUUAAGCAUAAGAUAAAAUGAAUGGCUAGGCGUGAAGGUGCAAAACCUGACAUGAUGCAUUUAGCAAAUGCGGUAAUUGCUCGAAACAUAUGCCUAAUGGAUACUGUCUCAAGUUCUCUUGAAAAGCUACUGAUGUUAUAUUAUGUAGCGUGGUGUAUAGUAAGUUAGUAAUUGUUAUGAAUUAAUUCGGUAAAGAUAAGAAUAAUAUCAGUAGUAAGGGCGGCAUAUAUAUNUUUAUGAUUUUACGACAUCAUUUGCCUAGUGAACGAAGGGGCUCAAAAUCAACGGCUAAAAAUAAAAAUCUUACAAAAUGUAAUAAUAUGACAUUAAAAUUUUAAAUCAAAGAUAUUGAUCUUGUUUUAGAUAGUAUAAAGAAUUUUCUAUCAAAAUUUCACGUGAUUUGGAUAUUUCUACACCGUUAAACUUGCAAAUGGCUCACUACAGCCAUUGAAAUUUGUUGAUUUUGAGCCCAUUUGAUCACUAGGCAAAUGAUAUCGUAAAAUCAUAAAAUUUAUUUUCUAGAUGCUUCAAAUACUCUAGAUCAAGUUUAACGGAGCUGAUCGACGAUUCGAAAGUCGCAACAUCAAAAAUGAGCUGGAAGCACGGAAGGCUCUGUGCUUCCGAUAUAUAUAUAUAUAUAUAUAAGAUGCUUGUAGAGUACUAUACUUUUUCUGGAAAAGCUAAUAAUCAUGAUCUUUUUUUUUUGAGAAAUAAUAAUCAUGAUCUUUCAUUUGUCUUUGCUAUCCUCUCCACCUAACCAAACCUACCAUUCAUGCCUUCCAUGAUUCGAGGAUGGGAGACGUGCCAUUAACUUUUGAGGAAAUGGUAAUAGAAUGAGAGCCAAUAACCUUUUAUGCAUGGAAACAUUUUUCACUUUUAGCGAAAAGUUAGUAGUAGAAAAAUGAAUCACCCUGAUUAUAGGAAUAUACUUAUGACGAGUGGAAUGUGCCGAGAUGGUUAAUUAGCAUAUUAUAUAAAGAAAACAAAGAAGUAAACCAUGGUUUCUCAAUAAACAAUUAAUUAAUCCGGCUGUGUCAACCUAAUCUUUCAAAUUAGAAGGCCUAACUUGAAAAUUGAAUGCCUAGCUAGCUACGACAUAUAUAUAACGUAACAAAACACUUUUUUGCGACAGGAAUAAUCGUAUAAAAUAAUUGACAACUUGGUGUAGAAGAGAUCGCAUAGGAGUUAAUCCAAAAAUAUUGUAUAAACUUUCAACGGAAAUGGUCUUUGUGCUUCUCCCUUGAGUUCGAUGUCACAGUAUCCGUAUUCAUCUUUGGUGUUUCGUAACUUACGAUUGUUUUUUCUAUAUCCAAUUUUCUUCGAGCCUUAAAAACUAAAGUAUUAAUUUGUUUUUUCCGAUUGCUAAAACUACAUAUAUGAAUAUAUACAGUACUUCUUCAAAUAAUAUUACUGAAAUAGUAUAUUUUUAUCAACUGCGAGAGCCAACAAACUAUAUAAUUAAUGGUGCUUGUAUAUGGAGAAUUUUUUAAUUUAUCUGCCGCGUAGAAUGUCAAAAACAACCUUUCUUACGAAACCAUGUCGAUAUAUAUAUAGAUGUGGACGUGAAUGUUGGAAACGAGAAUAAAGAAAACAAAAAAGAGAAAAAAAAAGAAAAAAGGAAAAAGUUAAGCAUGCAUGGCGUGUAGCCAUCCACCCAUGCAUUAAAUUAUGCGUAAGAUACAAACCAAAGUCAACUAACAAAGCUAAUCACGGUUGGGGACCUGAGAUCCACGACAAGCUGUCAAAGAGGAAAAGGAAAAUUAAGAACGAGGGCGAAGUGUUAGAGUUCACAUGAGCCUCUGAGGACCAAUUAAAGAAAAGUACUUAAUUAAGUACGAAAAAAAAAAUAAAGAGGGGUUUAAAAUUGGAAUUUUUGGUUGAGGUGCGAGCUCAUGUAGUUUAAUUUAAACAUAUAUAUAUUUCUUAAUUUUGAAACCUGUUACAUGUCUCGUGACCCCCAUUGCCCGUUUUUACGCUUUGGGUGGUUGAGAGGUCGACGCCUCAUUCCUAUUAAAAUUAAGAGGAUUGCUUGGAUGGCCAGGAUUUUAUUUUGGCACAGAUUGAUGUUCCUCACGUGAGAAAGGAAAGAAGAUUACAUGCAGCACGUGCCUACGGUGAAACGAGUAAAAUUAAUUAAUUUACUAAUCAUCUCACAUAGUGAUCGAAUAUUUGAAACUAGUUAGAAAGAUGGAUUAAUUGAUCGUCUCAUUUUGUAAUUCAAAAAUUGCAUACAGUGACCGACCGUUCCUAGCGUAACUGGUAAAUGGCUUGGCGAUUGAUACCUGAGAUCCCAAAUUCAAAGCCUAGUUGUUUUAUAUUUCUAAAUUUAUUUAUAAAAAAAAUAAACGAAGCGAAUAACAUAAUAUCUUUUAAAAAAAAAAGAAAAAAAAGAAAAAGCGAAUGGUGACCCUCUCUGUACCGAGACAAUUGUCCAUCACAUGCAGUGAUAGAAUCUCAAAUGCAGCAUGGAAGGUAAUGAACUUAGUCCUUAUCUUUCGAUCCCGAGAGCUUUUUUCUGUAGUGUUUUGUUUUUUUUCUGUAGUGUUUUGUUGAAGGUCAUGAGGAGAAACUAGCUAGUCAAGCAUUGUACUAUAAAUUUUUGAUUUGCGAGUGUAGUGGAAUUGUUUGUAUGUGAGGGAGGUGGAAUAGUGAAGUGUAGUAGAAUUCUUACAAUAUCAAAUAAUUUCAUUCGGACAAACGUUCACAAUAGUCUUCCAACGAUUUGAAAUGACAGCUUUUUUAGUCAGUCAUAUGAUCAUCAUGCACGUACGUACGCAAUUUUCUGUAAAAUAAUCAUUUCAACCUUAUCUUUUCAUAAAGUAAAGAAUGAAAAAAUUUUACUUUGUACGAGAAGUGUCAAAUGGUUAUUUGACAACAUAAGUAUCUAAUUAAUGUGGUGACAUGUUACCGACCGUCCCUAGUGUAAGUAGUGCAAAAGGCUUAAUGGUUGGCAUUCGAGAUUCAAGUUCCAAGUCUAAUUGCUUCGUAUUUUCAAUCAAGUUUAUUUCAAAAAAAAAUGAAUAAAACGGAUAGCAUGCUACCUUUCUCUCAAAACAAAACAAAAAAAGAAAAAGUGGGAAAGGUCAGGAAUUAAAAUGUUCAAGUAGCUAGAAAGUUUAGUUUUAUGAAUUAAAUUGCAAUAUCUCUAGCAUGGAAGAUGUUAUGUUCAUGAUGAAUAUAUUUCGUCUUAUUGAAGCACUACUCACGGAUCUAAAAACGCUCAACCAGAAUUUGUUUUUUUUUUUUUACCUUUUCAUAUAUAUUACAGGAAAAUAUAUUGGAUCAGACUCUCUAUUUGUCUUUUGAGAUCGAAUAAAUUUCAAUCUAUUUUGCAGCUUAAGGUUGAUAAUCAUGAAAAUUCACCUUUUAGAAAUUGACCAUGCAUGACCAAUAACUAGCAUGCAUACAUAUCCUCAUACAUAUUAACAAGCAAAGAAAGUGUGUUACAUAUUUUCUCGUGUAUAUAUAUAUAUAUAUAUAUAUAUAUACAUGGCAACAUAUGUACAUGCAUAUAUACGAGUAAGCAUCAAUUUUUAGCUGCAUUAACUCAGUUGAUAUAUUUGUUUAUGAUGACUUUGCAGUUUAUGACGACAAUAAACUGAUAAUAUAUUGCAAUAAAGUGAUAGACUAGUAAUUAAAUAAUAUUCUCCAUGGAAAUCAACUUCUUAUUAAUAACUAGAAAUGCUAUUAGUCAAUAUCCAAAGAAGUGGAAGUGGUCGACUAUAUUUGAACUCAUGUGCAUCUAACAUUGUUAAAUUAAACAAAAAACACAAGGCAAAAACUAUAUCUUAAUCUUUUUUUUUGAGAAAUAGGUAGCAAGCUACCUGCUUCAUUCAUUAAGUCUAAUGAACUGAGCAUACAAGUUGGUGGCAGCUUAGGCCUCCGUGUAAGCGGCAAAAAGGUGUAAAAAAAAAAAAAAAAAAAAAGAAAAAAAAAAAAAAGGUACGUGAGGGCGUCAGAGCAAUGUACUCCAAUAGUUGAUCAGAGCUUUGAGGCGUUCAAGAGACCCAGAAACCAUGGGCGACUUUCCAUUGAAAAUAGAGUUGUUUCUAUCUGUCCAGAUUACCCACCAAGUCGCAGCCAGAAGGACCAAGCGUUGGUUUCGCAACUUGGCGACAGAAAUUUCAGUACCUUUGGUUCAUAGAGCUUUAGCAUCACCAGUGUUGUCUACGUUUGCGUCCGGUAGUCCUCCUAUACUGAGAAGAAGAUACCGGACGUAAACACAGUUGUUAAAAAGGUGGUCGCAGCUUUCCGUAUGAACUGCGCAGAAAGCACAGUUCUGGUCUACGUGCAUGCCUCGGGUGAGCAGUCUGUCGGAGGUGGGUAGUCUAUUUCUAAGGAGUAGCCAAAUGAAAAUUUUAAUUUUAACUGGGAUUUUGAGCUUCCAGAUGUGCUGAUUCGUCAGGACACGAAGUCCAGAAUCCGUGAUGAACUGGUAAAGGGAUUUAACUGUGAAUAGUUGGUUGGAGGUCCAUCGCCCAAGUCCGGUGUGUCGCUUGGGCAGAGGCCUUGGAGCAUGUCUUUAAGCAUCGAUACCUGUCUUCGUCUGUCGGCAGACGAUGCCAUCGUAAAUCCCCGACAGAUAAAGCGCCAUCUCCACCCGCGUUGAUCCCAACAUUGGGAGAUCCGGGCUUCUUUAUUCCUGAUGCUUGAAAAGAUGUCCGGAAAUAGAGUACGAAGUGGGGUUUCUCCUAGCCAGAUAUCAAACCACAUCCUGAUAUUUCUUCCGUCCCCUAGCUCGUGGGUUACACCACAGGAAAACAUGUCUCGACAGUAGAGCACGCUCUUCUACCACUGUGAAUAGGGGGAAAAGGCUCUACCCUCAAGCAGCGGCUUACGUCUAACGUAGUAGAGGGAUAAAAUCAAUUUACACCAAAGGAGGUCGAGGUUGUUAAUCUUAAUCUUUUACUUUGAGAAAAUUGAAGUAUAUAUUUCAUUAUAGAAUUGAAGAUAAGAAAUAAUACCGGAUGUACAAUUCACACUUGUGUCAAACUACGGUGGCACACAAGCUUAAAUGAUAACGACCACGAAGAUAAAAUACAAAUACUUUACUAAUUUUGAUGGUAACAUUAAUUUGACUUGCUACAUUAUUUUAACAGGUCAACUUUCGAGUCAACUUGGUAGCUAGACCUUAAUUUAGACCUAACUAUGUGUGUACUAAUUUGAUCAAUCUUUUCAACAGCACGAGUUGUGAAGAACAUAUAUAUAAAAAGAUGUUGAAAAAGUCAGAUUAAAACCGCACAAUUAUAUAAGCACACAAAAGAAUGUAAAUGCAUGUUCUUAAUUGCUAGCUAGCUAGCAAGUCCAGUAAACUCGUUUGAAUUUACAUAACUAUGAUAUUAUAUUACUCAUUGGAAUAUUCAUGUGUGGUGAGACAUCUAAUUUUGCGUUCAAGGUAUUUCUUUUCGUAUCCUAAGGAGCUUGCGCAUACGACUCUAAGAACUAGCGUUUACUACAAAAUUAACCUUGAUCAUCACACAACAUGUGUUCACAUCUAGUAGAGUUGACAUGCAUAUAUAUAUAUAUAUACUUUUGAUUGAAUAUACAUGCGUAAAAUUCACGACCAUACAUUUAUCUGCCUAGUUCGAUAUAAAAUACAUUCAAAUAUCAAUAUAAAAUUGCAGAGAGUUUGCAUGCAAAUGCUUUUGUUGAGGGUUCUCGGUAUUUCUUUUUUCUUUUUUUUUUUUAAGAAACAAAAGAAAAAAAAACAAAAUCUACAUUGUGUAUAUUCGGCCAUACUUUACCAGCUGAAUCUUAAUUUUUCAUAGACAAGAGAUUAUUUGAGCUGCAAGUUAUAGAAAGUUGUUUUAAUUUUUUUUUAUUCAACACUGUGGGCUGCAUGUCUAAAUAAUGUCAAUCCUUCUUUCGAGAAAUUAAAUUUUUGAAUGGUUUAUAUAGGCAACAUAUUCAAUUUGUUGAAUAUAAAUAUAAAAAAAUUAGUGCUCUUAAAUUAAUAGCUUAAGUUUUGAAGAAAACAGUUGUUUCAAUAUCAUAGCAUCGGAUCUAAACUUAAAUCCCAUCAUAUUUCUAGUUUUUUUUAAAAUUUUUCAUAUUUAAAUUCAAAUUCUUAUUUUGAGUUCAGAAACGAGAGAGAGUUUGGUAGCUUAAAGAUUUUAAGGAAAAGUGUUUAUUUACAUUAGAUAUAGAACAUAGCCAAAGAAAUUAAAGGGGCUAGCUAGCUAGAGCAGUAGAAAAGUGGCUCAUGUACAAGUUUAUGUUGUAAUUAACUACUAGUACCACUUUCUCUAGCUCCUCCUGUUCUCCUCUCUACAUCUAUUUAUUCUCCUCUUCCCCACCCCUUAGCUACCUCCACAGCCAUUUAGCCACUGUUCCUUUUCCCCCCGUAGAUAAAGAAAGGAAUUAUCAUAAGAAGCCAGUCAAUGUAGGGAAUGCUUGCUCAUUUCUUCCUCAGUUUAUAUUAUAUUAUGUCCUUUGUUUUUUAUAUCCCUUUGUCUUCCAUCCCUUUUAUAAUAUUUCUAUCAAUAUUAUUCUCCUCACAGUACUCCUCCUCUCUCCUUCCUUCCUCCCUCCUUCCUACUCCCAUCAUUCUAACCCAAUUAUGACAGCAUAGAGAGAGAGAGAGAGAGAGAGAGAGAGAGAGAGAGAGAGAGAGGUGGCUAAGAGAGGAAUAUGGUAGGAGAGAAGAAGGGGGAGGUGGUGGAAAUCUUUGAAGAUGAGGAGGAGAAGAGCGCGGAGAGUAGGCGAUCUCCGAAGCGGAAGAGGACGCCGCCCGCGGGGCUUGACCUAAAUGAAGAGGUCGGCGAGAGCGAGGAGGGAGGAGGGGUCGAGGGCUGUGACGAGGGAGAAGAUGAAGAUGGGGGUAGCACCACCGAAGUCGCGGGCGGAGGGAGCUCAAGCAAUAACAGCAGCACCAACGACAAGAGCUGCGGCAAUAACAGCGAGAAGAACGGCGACGGUGAGGCUGAGGGGGGCGGUGAGCGGCCCUCUGUGCGGCAGUACGUCCGGUCCAAGAUGCCCAGAUUGCGUUGGACCCCCGAUCUCCAUCUCGCUUUCGUCCAUGCUGUCGAGCGGCUCGGGGGACAAGAGAGUAAGCCUAAGAUCUUUAUUUCCUCUUCUCAAUGAUUAUUAUUUGAAGUUUUUGAGAAGGAAAUGGUUGUUAGUAAAGUGAUUAUAAAUUUAGUCCAACAUAUGUCCUAAUAUUUAUUUCUUUCCCUAUAUAUAUAUAUAUAUAUAUAUAUAUAUAUAUAUAUAUAUAUAUAUAUAUAGAUCUUCUCUUGAUCAAUUGCUUCUUUCUUCUUUGUAUUUGGAUCAGAUGUACAGAAGCAAGAAGCUCGACGAUUCCGGACAAGAGAAAUCAGGAUUUUCUUCAGGUUUGAGCAUCACUUCACAAUUCUCACUUGUUAAUUCUCAGUUUCUAUCACACUGAAACUCUUUUACGGCUAUGCAACAAUUAAGCUUUAUAGGACCACCAUGAUCCUUUUUCAUGUUCUACUUAAAUGAAUCUAGCAAUAGUUUUUUUAGGCCCAUAUACCAUCUAAUAACUAACUAAAGACAAUGGUCAAAGAGCCUAGAAAUUUCCAUUUAAUUGUUUUCUCUGAAGAAAAAGAAAAGAAAGUAAAGGAGUUUUCAUAUACAUGAAUAGUGUUUUUUUUCCUUGAUACAGUUAUAUCAUCACCCAUGGAUUUGCAUCUAAGAAGAGGUGGUUACCCACAUGAGAUGUUCUAUCAAAGAACAGGUUCGCCGCUACACUCGUUCGGGAUAAAGAAUGGGAGCUUCUUCUCAUCAACAGGUAUUAAUGAGACCAACCGACUUUAUGGCGAUCUUUUUCUCCGACCGCACACUCAGAGGCCAUUUGAUUUCAAGAGCAGCAAUUUCAGGUAACGCACAAACCAAGCAGCAUGAAGAAGAAGACUUGGCUCAUAAACCCUAACCCUUCUGAUUGCUAUACUGUAAUAUUUGUUUCAUAGCAGUAGGCAUCAAGAAUGGGCUUUUAACCAGCAAGCAGCAGCGCGAGCCGGUAGUUCAAUCAAAUAUCAAAGCCCAGCAAAAGGGUUAAUACAUGACAUGAUCUUUGCGAAGGAUGCGAAGCCGACAACCUCACAUCUGUUCGAUGUGAGGGAUGUGAUUGCUGGAAACAGGAAUCAAACUCUAUCACAACAAAUCCUCGAGGAAAGAAGGCAGUCCCUCUCCAAGGUUUUCCCAGUGGAUCAAUUCUCUACUGAAGGGAAUAACAGUUACUAUCAUCGCAACUACAAUAGUUCUACUCACUCCAACUCAUCAGAUCCUGUGGUUAUCAAUGAGAGACUAAAGCCUCAAUUUGAAGACCCAUUUAGAAUUCAGGUAUCCUCAUCAACUCUAACAUUGUGAAACAACUGUUAUUCUCUAAAAAGCUUAAACUGUUAAACAUUAAUAUCCUAUUAUUAUUAUUAACUAGCUUGAAAAGAUUUAAAAGUCAGGAUCUCCUCCUCUGCCGCAAUGUAAAAGCAUUAGAAAAUGGUGUUUCAUUAUUUUAUAUUCAAUAGAAAAUACCAUGCACUGUGAUGUCAACUGAUUAAUAUUAAUUACUAGUGAAAUGAGAAGAUCCUAAUAGUAUUGCUUUAUGAUUUUGGUGGUGCAGAUAGAGAGACAAGGAGAAAACAAAUACAUGAACAGCCUAGACGACAUGUUUGAGAGAAGAGAGAACCCUACAAGAGAAGCGAAGAAGAUGAAGAUGACAACAUUAAUGGAGAGGGAUAGAGAACCCAACUUGAAGCUAAGCUUGAGCCCCAUCACAGUGGAUGAUCAUGGAGCUAAUGAAAGAAAGGGGACCGAGAUCGAGGAAGAGGUCGAUAGCGCACUCUCACUGUCUCUCUCACUUCCUACGAGCCUCAUGCAGCAUCAAGAAACUGAGAAGAGAAAUGUUCAGUUGUCAGAAAGAGGCAGUAGCAACAACAACAAGGCCAAUGUAGGGAUGAGUACUUUAGAUCUGACCAUGUCAAUUGGAGCAUUGGAGUGAGAUCUUUCAAGUACUUGUUUCGAGGCUUUUUGAAGUGUUGCAACUGAAAUAAGGUCUAAUCAGCCUAAUUGAGACCAAGAUUUACAUUUAGUAGCCAGAGUUUAAUUUACUUGUCAUCAUGAGUGCCAUAUGGUUAUCUUAAUUAAUUUAUUUUAUUGUCAUAAAAAUUGAUAUUUUAGAUAUUUAACCAUGCAUCUACAUAUUAUUGAUACUUAUACCUAGAUAUAAAAAGACUACAUGAUAAUCUAGACCUUGCCAUGACAAUAUUUUAACCCCCAAGAAAAAGAUAAAGUAGCUGAUCAUAACUUACUGCGUUCAUUAAAUUUAUCUUUUCACUUAAUUUAAAUAUAUAUAAUGUGUAUUUUGUACGCACCCUUUCUGCCAAUAUGUAUACUAAAUGCAUAUAUGUAUGAUAUGAUGUAAGCAUGCGUCUGUGCGUGUGCGCUAAUUAAUUUGUGAUUCUCACUUUUAUUUUUUUUUAAUUUUUUUUUUUUUGAGAGAUAGAUAGCACACUAGCCGUUUCGUUUAUUUCAUUUAGAAAUAAACUUAGCUGGAAAUGUGAAUCAACUAGGAUUUGAACUUGGGAUCUCGGGUACCAACCACCAAGCUCUUUGUCACUUGCUCUAGGGACGGUCGGUUUCUCACAUUUAUUGAUAUAGAGAACUUGGCAUCAUUUUAUAUUGUUAUUAUAAAUUGAAAAGCUUACAAAAAUUGGAUAUAAAUAUAAGACGAGUAUAAAACAAAAUUUUCCUACAUUUGAAGAUGUUUUUUUUUUAGAGAAGGGUAGCACGCUACCCGCUUUAUUCAGUAAGAAAGUGAAUUAAGCUACAUCGGUAAGGCAGCAAGGCCUCGGCGAGAAAUGGAUCGAAGACGAAAAAAAAAAAAAACAGUCAGUCGGGGGUAAGAGUCUUACAUUUGAAGAUGUUAGGCGGAAGAAUGUAGAUGCAAAUAAAUAGGAUUGUCCUUAAUUUUUAAUAUAUAUAUAUAAGAUUGUCUUAGUGGUUAGAUUUAACAAUUUGAUUCAAUCACUGAUCAUAACUAGCGCAGUUGGCUAAGAUCUUGAUGGUUGGUAUUUGAGAUUCCAAAUUUAAAAUUUAGUUGAUUAAUAUUUCUAGUUGAGUUUUUUUUUAAAAAAAAUGAACAAAACAGAUAGCAUGCUACCUCUCUCAAGAAAAAAAAAAAAAAAUGGUUCCAUCAUCUUGGGUUCUGUUCUUAGAUCAAUUUCAUUCAAGUUUGUAUUCUAAUAGGUUGAUUGGACUUCGCAGGAAGGUCUAUUAAGAUCAGACUCGUAGAUGCAUAGACACAUAUGCAUUCGUAAGUAUAGAUAUUAGAAGCACUAUAAUAGCUUAAAGUUAGAGAAUAAUGCUUUGUUUUUUCUCAUAUGAUAUAAACUGGUCAUGAGUUCCAAUCUUUCCGACUUUCAAAGAAAUUUUAUUUUCUUCUGUUUAAUUCAAGUAUACACCUUUGGUUUAUAAAAUCACAUACACACACUAACAGAUUUUUUAUAAAAUACAAUGCCUCCUAAACCAUUAGUCACCGCUGUAAAAUGUUAGCAACAUAUUACUUCUUUUCUAUUUAACAUUUUCACCUACCUUUUUGAAUAAAAUUGUUAUUAUUUCGAUCAUAAUUCAUUAUUACAUAGUAACGAGAUUCAAUAAAUCUAUUCAUAAACAUCAAAAUCAGCUUUACUGAUAAUAUCACCAUUCCCGUGAAUCAGGUAGAAAAAGUUGUCUAACUUCUUUGUGUGUGCGUGUGUGUGUGAGAGAGAGAGAGAGAGAGAGAGAGAGAGAGAGAGAGAGAGAGAGAGAGAGAGAGAGAGGGAUGGAUUAGUGUUUGGUAGGAUGAACCUUUAGAUGUGGGAAGGUUUAGUUGAUAACAAGUCCUUGUCAGUGAAGUCCUCCACAGUUUAAAACACAACCAACCACACUUAACAAGGAAGGAUUGUCUUCCUAUUAGGGCAUGAAAUUCUAAGGUGGGUCACAGAUCUCGCUGGCCUUCAGCAACUUAUGCCCAGAAAAAAAAACUACUUCCUUGACUUGGGAGCAAACUAAAAUUCUCUAGAGAGUUUCUUACACCAUGCAUGUGUUAUAAGAAGGGAUUGAAAGUCCUCCCUCUCAUUAAUUAAUGCUGUGAAUUGUUGCUAUCAUCAACUUGUUAAAAUAUGCGAAAUAAUCAUUUUGCUCCCAAACUUAAUUAAUUUAAAGUGUUAGAGAAUAAUAUUUUUAAUAUUUUGAAUUCAAUACUCCGCUAAUUAAAUGAAGCAAGGAGGCAAGGGGGCCAGUAUCCAACUUGCUAUAUCCUUUGCCAAUACCAUAUUAAAGGAUGUGAAAUAAUUGUUUAUCUCUAAAAAUUUAAACUUAAAUAAUAGUAUUUUAAUUUUUUUUAUAAAUAUAACACAAUUUUUUUUUAAAAAAAAACAUAACUUUUAAGUCGAAAUAGCAGUAAUUGAUUUGACAAUAGGGAUUGAGAACACUAGCUGAAUAAAGCACAUCCAUCUGAGUCCUUUUUUUUUUUUUUCUUUUCUGACUGUAGAACACAUGGUGAUUCUCCCUCUAUAAAAUUUUUACACAUAGCGCGCUGCGUACAAAAAUGUUUAGUUUUCACUAUGAUCAUGCUAUUUUCUUCAUCCUUGAUUUGCUUCAUGCACAACUAAGAAUGACGAUUUAAUUGCGAUUAAAAUACUAAUGCAAUAGUGUACAUCCUCUUCAUAAUUUUAGAGCUUGUUAAUUUGACCUAGCUGCAGUCUCUAAAAGCUUAUGGGCUAAAAAGCGUCGCUGUUGACCGCUUUUUCUAUAAUGCUAUUUAAUUUAUAUUAACAACUUCUUUAUCAUAAAUUUUAAUAAUAUUUAUAAAUUUUAAAUCAAAAUUUCUUCUAGUAUCCCAGAAGUUCGUGUCAUCUAUUCAGCUCCAUGUGCACAACAACAAAGUCUAAAUAUAAACUUCGUACCACAAGUGCACGGGUUUUACUUAAAAAAUGUAAACACAUAUAUGACUCCGAUUGCUUCUGAAAAUGUAAACUUUUCCAUCAUUGUUAGAAAAAUUUAAAUACAGGGAAAUAUUAAUUAAUAAUAACAUUACAUAACACGAAAAAGAAACAAGGUAUUUAAUUUAAAUGGUGUCACGUGUUGAGUUGGUGUGUAUAUAUAGAGAGAGAGAGAGAGAGAGUCUGCUAUGAUGCUUUUAAAAACGCAAAGUAUUUUAUUCUUAUAAUUUUUCCAUCGUUAGAUUUACUUUUUUGAUCAUUUUCAUUCGUUAGACCAUACUAUUCAAAUAAUUACUCACUCAACCCUAAAAGACCACUACUAUUAUUCUAUCGUAUUUCAUUUAUAUAUAUAUAUUACUUCAUAUUAUAUAUAUUUAGUAUAUAUAGGUAGCUGGUAUCUUCGGUAGGUGAGGGCUCCGUGCUCCAAGUGUUUUUAAUGAUGCGGGUUCUAAAUCGAGUCGAGGCUCGCGACUCCGGUACUAUAGUCUUGUUUUCGAUCUGUAGGGUGUUCAUAUCACGAUCCAACCGUUAAAUAUGAUCUAAGGUAUAUGAAUGUUCUUAGCGCAAUAAAUUUUGUUUUUUUGACAUGAUUUACUAGUAAUAACUAUGUCAGAAUGGACAAUGAAAAUUAAAUAUCUUUAAAAUUUGAGCAUAGGACUUUUAAAUUCAAAAUCAAGAAUGUUAACCUUAAUCUAGAUAGUUUAAAGUAUUUUCUAUCAAACUUUAAAGAAAUUUAGAUUCUUCUACACCGUUAAACUCCAAACUCGCCAUAGUAGCCAUUGAAAAUUGACAAUUUUGAAAUGGUUUGAUCAUAAAGUAAACUAUGUCGAAAAAAUAUAAAAUUUUAUUUCUAAAACUUUAAAUACCCUAGAUCAGUUUUAACGGUGUGGAUCGUUGAUUUGAACACCCUAAGAUUGAAAAUGAGAUUAUAGUACCGGAGCCCCGAUAGUAUAAAUAGUAUAGAAGACUAUAUAUAUAUAUAUAUAUAUAUAUAUAUAUCCGCAUUAUGCGCCUCAACCAUAAGAAUUUUCGUGGCCAUGCAUGCAUCACCAGGCACUGCACGUGACGUAUGAUUCGAAAGAGACACCAAAUUUUACUUUAUGUAGUGAAAUAUACUCACAUGAAUAGAUACUUUGCUCACGUUUUAAAGAUAUGAAAAAGUUUUAUUUUUCGCUUUUGUUUCAUGUAGAUUUGAUGACUUAACCCUAGAGUAGUUGGUGUCUUUCAAUUCACACUUUGAUUAAGAGAAAAAAAAAAUCAAAUAAAAAAAUUUGGUCUGUUUUGGUUUAAACUUUUAUUCUGUUUCAUUCCCAAAAUAUUAAAUUAUCAUCUUUUUGCUUGAAUUCAGUUUGCGAAGCUCUAUGGAUACGGGAUUUUGCAAAGACCAAAAUCCAUUUUUUUAUGGAUUUGGCAAAUAGACCCACUUUUUCUAUUACCUUUUUCUUUUUGCAGACAAAUCAGAUUUGUAUUAUUCUAUCCUCGUUACGCAUCUCAAAGUUGUUGUUUUUUUUUUUUUGAGAGAUAGGUAGCACGCUACCCGCUUCAUUUAUUUCAUUUAGAAAUAAACUUAGUUGGAAAUGUGAAUCAACUAGGAUUCGAACUUGGGUCUCGGGUACCAACCACCAAGCACUUUGCCACUUGCUCUAGGGACGGUCGGUGCAUCUCAAAGUUGUUGAUGUAAGUAGAGAUAUGGGUUAAAGAAAUGCUACUGUAUAUUCAAUAAUUGGUGUGAAUGUUACAACCAUCCAAAUGUGAAAUUUUAAUUUUUGGAUGGAUAGGAUGUUAGGUUUAAACCAAUCUUAAUUUUGAGAGUACAUAUAACAUUGUAUGAAAAAAAAUUAGUUCUUUUUUUAAAAAGAUAGGUAGCAUGCUACUCAUUGUUUUUAGAAAAUAAAAAAUGAGAAUUAAUUAGGAUUUGAAUUUGAAACCGUAGAUAUCAAUCAUCAAACUAUUUGCCACUUAUGCUAGAAAUAAUUAAUAUAUAUAUGUAUAGUCCUUGAAUGAAUAUGACGUAAGAUUUAUACCAAACUUUCAAGUAUACCAAUAGCACUGCUCUUAUGCAGCUUGCAAAAAUAAUGAAAAAAAAUAGAAGUUGCAUACGGGACGUGACACGAAUGGAUGCUCAUACAAUAAUGGAUAAGUAAGGUUUAGAGGAACAAAAAUUAAUGACAAAAAAAAAUCUGAUAUAUAUAUAUAUUGAAUUAGGCUAGAAUAUUAUUAAUAGCACCAAGUCAUUAGUGCUACUAGGUUUUGGUCCUUGAAUAAAGAAAUGUUCGGUUAUGAUGAUUGCAGUUUCCUAGAGUUUAGUAGUGGUUGGUGGGAUAGUAUCACUACAACAAAAAUGGUCUAUAGCGACACUUUUAAAUAUAGGUACAUGUCAAAAAAGUGCUGCUAGCUAAAAUUACCGACACUUUUAAAAAGUGUUGCUAUAUAUGGGGUCGCUAGGUAUAUAGUGACAGUUAAAGAGUAUUGCUAUAAUCUAAAAGAGUGCUGCUAAUUUACCAACACUUAUUUAAGCAUUUAGUAAUCGCCGAAACUCUAUCUCGUUGGCUGCGGUGGCGGAGGAGGACGACAGUAAAGGCUCUUCGUCUAGAAUUUCAGUGGAUUGAGUGAAGAGAGAAGAAAAGAUGGUAAUUGAUUUUUCUUUUUUUUUUCUUUUCUGUUUGUAAUCGGGCCAAAUGGACUGGGUGUGGUGGGUUGAGUAGAGUAAUCUUUUAUUUUUGGUUGGAUUGGGCCUUAUAUUUAGCCAUUUAUAUGUGCUUUUAAGUUUUAGCUAAUAGGACACUUACUCAAAAGUGUCCAGACAUAUGUCCCUAUAACUAAUUCUGUUGUAGUGUUAUAUCUAACGGUGAAAUUGUUAACUGAUAAUCUAACGCCAGAAACUUUGAUAGUACUAAGUUUUUAUGCUAUUAAUAACAUUAUAACUAGACUUAUAUAUACAGAGAGAGUAGGCAAAACUAAAAAUAUUUGUGAUUCCUUUUGAUAUCAUGGUGGAAACGAAUUUAUAACACGCAAUCGCUGGUCGAUUGGUGUCAUCGGGGUUCCGUGUGGUGCCAUAUUCGGUGAUUUUAGUCUGCCCCUUUCUUGGCUGAUUUCGUCAAACCUGCUUGGGCGGAGGUGUAUAGUGAGGUUACGGCCGAACCCAAAAAAAACAAAAAACAAAAAACCAAAACAACAACGCAGCAGCAACAAAUAUAUUAUAUUAAUUCUUUUUUUUCUUCUUCUUCCUCUUCUAUUAUCUAAUAUAUAUAUAUAUUAUAUAUAUUAUUAUAAUAUUAUAUAUAAUAUAUAUAUAUAUAUAUAUAUAGUAUAUAUAAGUAUACACUCACAAUGUCCAUGGGGAUUCUAGGUCUUACUGGCCAUUUCCGCCCUCCCGAUUUUCAAUCUGAUCAGUGUGCCUUCAUUGAACCCUUAUUUGGGCCGUGCCCACUAGAUAAAUCUUAUCGCCAGGUCCGAACUCAUUAAUUUAUCGUGAAACCCUUCACUGUGCCGGCGCCGGUGGCUCGGAGAUCUUGGCCUAUCCCUCCAACAACCAUUCGAGAACGUUAAUUGCACGAAUCUUAAAGUUACGUGAAUGGCCUAUGAUGAUCUCAAUAGCGUACUGUACGCCUGUUUCUUUUGCAAUGAAAGAGAAGUUUCUGUCGGUGUGUAUUUAGCCGCACAUUUUUGUAUUGUCUGUGUUUUGUUUUUUUUUUUUUUUUUUUUUUUUUUUUUUUUUUUUUUUUUUUUUUUUUUCUUUUCUGCAGCUUUUGCCCGUGAAAUUUUUUUUUUCUCAGUUACUGUUGAUCAAAGUUCAUGAUUCUCUACUCGAUGUAGUAAAAUAAUUUGUGUCAUCAGUUCUUGAUCAAAUCUCUGUCCAUGUAUUUGCCAUAUUUACAGGUAAAGAACUACUACUCAGAGCUCUUUGUUGCAAUAAUACUGUUUCUUGGUUCAUGAGCAUGAGGCAUUUAUCAUUUAUUAUCAGUGGUAGAGAUUAAACUGCGUAUUUGAUCACAUUAACAUAGGAGAUCGAAAAUGCUCUGCGAUACCUGAACUGUUUUGGCUUUUCCUUUUCUGUUCACUUGCAUACUUCGCCUUUAUCUCUUUUAUACUUCACAUGUGAAGUAUGAUUCAGGUUAUAAGGAUAUCUUGUCGAUUGCCCUUUGAUAAUUGUAUCAUCAUGUAAUUCGGCUUAAUUAAUACUACUUUGCCAUCUCCGUGUCCGUGUAGAAAUUCCGAAUUCCGAAGUUGUUGUUUUCAUCUGUCACAAGGGAUCUGUAAAGAGUUACGCACGAGAUUUCAAUCAUGUGAAAACAUUUGACAGAGGCUGAUAUUACUCAUCAUUAUAUUCGUUUUCGUCAUCAUAAAUAAACCUCGGAGGGUCAAGAAUGUGAUUUUUAACUGUCACAGAUAAUGGCAGAUUUUGCAGUGAGUGCAAAUGGCUCACUUCGAACGAAAUUCUUCCAAACUCGCAUAAUACUCGACCAAAUCGGUGAUAUAUUCAGUCUUGGAAUGAUAAUAUGUGAGCUUCAUGCUCUAAUUCGGCCAUGUGACGGCACAAAUCCAAGUUUCUUUUCCUUUCUCCACAGUGCAUUAUACUGGGGGAAUCACGAGCUUAGAACACAACCUAAUGCUUGAUUAUUGUUGCUCUGGAAAUUCCUGAUGAUCCUUUAGCAGCUUUUUAAGGUUCUUACAUUCGGAACUGUUCAUGUUUUGCUCUGCAUGAGAAUGCUAAUAUAGGAUUCUGACACGCAGAUGCAGCUUGAUUCAUCGGAAAUAUUGCAGCAAGCAAGCCUUGCAAUUGAUCAUGCUGCAACGACACUGCAAGCAUUGCGGCACGUUUUGUUUAUUUAACACCUGUCCAAAUUCUUACAGCAUAUACAGAGGUAACAGAUAUUUAUCCAACUUACAAAUAUUCUGUUGCUUAUCAGAGCUAUUGUCAGUUUUGAUACAGCAAAUUGUGCUAUAGAGCUUACUCUUGCUAACAUUAGGCUAGACAACAAUCAUGUAAUAGUUCAGAUAUGCAGCGAAGCAUCACGUUCCAACCCUUUUUAUUACUCGAGAAAAAGGCACAACAAGAACUCAAAAGUAGUGUUUGUUCUCUUAUACAAACAUGUAGAUAUACCUAUAUAUAUAUAUCUCGGACAUCAUUAGCAUCUCCAGCAGCUAUUGUAAAAUUACUGGACUAGUUUCACGCAAUUUUACCUAAUCAGGAAUCCUUCGGCUGUUCAACGCCUCCUCGAAGCGGCUACACGAAUCGACCCUCAUCUCGGUGCUCAUGUCGUUCUCCGGCGCGGGGUAGUAGUCCUCCCGCAGCUGCACGUCCCGCAAGUUGGGCAUCAAGAGGAAGAACCUCAUGAAGUGCUCGUGCGUAGUUCCGUGAAUGAAGAGCUUGCGCAGGGUGGUGCACCCUUGUAUCAGCCCCGUGGCCGGGAGUGAGAGGCUCCUCUGGUUCACCUCCCGAUCCUGCGGGGGCCAGUAGUCGAGCUCGUAGAGGUUCAGCCCGCCGAUCCCGUGGAGGUAGAACCGCUCCCACAAGCUCAAAUCCAUCUGGCCGCUGGGCGCGGUCAGCGCGUACCCGAUCGCCUCCCCGCAGUCCAGCUUCAUUUUGGUCAGCUUCGGGUACUGGACGAGGGAGCUCAGCCCGAAGCCCUGAUCCGCGGGCCUGACGCACGACCGGCAGUCGCCUUCGAUCUUUAUGCAUAUCUCCUCCAGCUCGGGGCAGCUGCCGAGCCCCGCAUUCCCGAGCGGGGUGAGCACUUCCCCCGCCGGCAGCCAGAGCGACAGGUACCGCAGCCGGUCCCAUUCCCGAUACCACGGAUAAGUAUAAGCGCAGUCGACGCCGCCGCCGUUCGCGGCGUGAUCGAAUUCGAAUUCGAAUUCGAAUUCGUAUUCGUAUUCGUCGCCGCCCUCUUCGCUGCACCUGCGCUUCUUGCGGCCGGCCGACCGAUGAUCCUCCGGAUCAAAUUCGUCGACCUCGGAGCCGCCAUUCGCAGCUUCCGGGGCCCCCUCUUCGUCCGGGGGAAGGUGCGGCGGCGGCACCUCGGGUUCGUGAUCGGGAUCGGGCCAGACGCAGUCGACGUGGAGGCGCUCGAUGCGGUCGCGGAGCGGAUCGAGCGCGCGGAGCGACCUGGGGGCGUCGAGGAGCGCGCAGCUGGAAAUUCUGACCUCCUUGAGAGUGGAGCGGAGGGCGGCGGCCAGCUUCCUGAGGCCGGCCUCGGUGACGAGGGGGCAGCCGCGGAUCUCGAAGCUGGAGAGGCGGCGGCAGCCGCGGGCGACGGCGGCGAGGGCGGAGUCGGUGAGGUCGGGGCAGUCCUGGACGCAGAGGGACUGGAGGGCGCCGCAGACGGCGACGCCGUCGAGGUGGAGCCAGGCGGCGUUGCAGAUGCCGUGGAAGCGGCCGAGCCGGAGGGCGCGGAUGCGGGGGCACCUGCGGGCGAGGGCCUCGAGCGCGGGGCCGGCGCCGCGGACGCUGUGGCGGAGGUCGAGGGCGAGGUCCUCGAGGGCCGGGAGCGCGGCGAAGAGGGCCUCGAGGCCGGCGGGGGUGAUCCGGGCGUCGUCGGCGUCGGCGUCGGCGUCGUGGUCGCGGGCGGAGGGGUCGAGGAGGUGGAGGAGGGAGAGGCGGGGGCAGUUGGCGGCGAGGGAGAGGAGGGCGGCGUCGCCGACGAAGUCGAGGAAGCGGGGGUUGAAGACGCAGGGGGCGCGGAGGUGGCGGAGGUUGGGGCAGGCGGCGGAGAGGGCGGAGAGCUCGGAGGCGCGGAAGCCGUCGGAGGCGGAGGCGAGGAGGAGGUCGAGGCGGGUGAGGGCGGCGGCGGCGGCGGGGUGGGCGAGGAGGGCCGGGGCGACGUCGUCGGUCCAGCAGUAGAACUCGGAGAGGUCGAGGGCUUCGAGGGCCGGGCAGGCGGCGAGCAGCGGGGCCAGGUCGGACCCGGGCGGGUGGUCGGGGCGGCGGUGCCAGCGCACGAGCUUGGCGCGGCGGAGGCGGGGCCAGAGCGGCGCGAGGGCUCGCAGGGCGGAGGGGUCGCGCGCGUAGACGGUGAGGGAGGCGACGUUGGGGAAGGCGAGGGCGAGGGGUUGGGGUUGGGCUUGGAAGGAGGGGUGGCCGUGGCCCCAGGGCGAGAGCAGGGAGAGGUCGAGGUGGGCGACGUUGGGGAAGAAGGUCGGGAUCAGCCAGGGGCUGCGCGCGUGCCCGCGCAGGGCCAGCGAGCGCCGCGUCUGCCGCUCCAGGGACCGCCACUGCCGGCACACCAGCGACAUGGCGUUGCGCGACCGCACGUCCCGCACCAGCGACAGCACCUGCACCACCACCGGCUCCGGCAGGUCCUGCAUCUGCGUCCCCCUCUCCGCCCCCGCCACCAUCACACCGAAUUCCCAAUUAUUCACCUUAAUUAAUUAGCCGACCUGCUCUGCUCUGCUCUGUUCUCCUCUGUUCUGCUCUGCUGGAGGAGAGGAGGGCGGGCUAUUGAGAAGGUGGUGGUGGUAGUAGGAAUAGUAGUAGGAAUAGGAAUAGUAGUACUUAGAGAUCACAGUAGAGAAGAGUUGGGAGGAGGCGAAAGAAGAGGAAGAGGGGAGCGAGCCCGAUCGAAACAGGGCUCUUUCCACUUUCUUCUUCCUUCCGACUUUCUUUCUUUCUUUCUUUCUUCGACCGGCUCUGGGCCGUCGACAAACUCCUGCCUGCACCGGGAGUACAAUUACCUCUCCUACUCCGCAAUCCUAAAAUUUUGUCGUAGAAAAUUUGAAGCAGAAAAUCUUAACUUAUUUGAUACGUCGCGUGGUGGUGACUAUUCAAUGAACCGGAUAUUUAUUUAAGAUAAUAGUUAAACAGACCCUUUCUUUUGUCGGUAAAUAAAAUAUUUUUUUUAUUUGUCACUAUUAAUUAGUGAAAUUAUCUGAUGUAUUAAUUAUAUUUUUUUCAAAACUUCACUUAUUUUAAUCUAUAAUUUAAUUAGAUGAUGCAAAUCAUGUUUGUCGAAUUGUACUUUUUUUUUUUUGAAAAAAAAAUAUAGUAUUUUAUUCGCUUUAUUCAGUUGAAAUUAUUUUUAAAAAUUAUGUUGCCAAACAUAAGUUAUAUAUAAAUACACUCGGUGCAUGCGAGAGUUCCUUCUGGGAAUCAAUCUGUCAGAGAGAGUCGCAAAAAUCGAAGUAGGCGGAUCAAAGCCACGAUAGAUUAUUAACUCAUACGCUUGACAAUACGUAAAGAACGCUAAUUAUUUUUAACUUAAUAAUUUAAUAUUUAAAAGUUUUAUAUUUCGUAUUCAAAUUUUUUUUGUGUGUGCUCUAAACUUUUGAUUAAUUUAUUUGUGUCAAUUUUAAUAGAAAAAAUUAAUAAUAGAUAAAAUAUUAAAGAGAAAAAUACAGACACAAUAAAAUUUAACACACCAAAAAAAAUAUAUAAUAAUAUAUUCAAACGUCGUCUCAUGGGACCAACUAUGCAUUUUUCAUUCCCAUCUAGAAUCAAACAAGACUACAAGUAUAGUAGAAUUUGAACUAAGAAUGUACUAUUCAAUUACGAUAUGAAUUGUUAACAAAAUAAUUAUUAUUAUAAUUAUAAUAUUAUUUGUGCACAACAACUAUGAAUUUACAUCCAGCAUACAGCAUGCAUGUACAUCGCGUACAUAGAUAAUUGUUUACCUUAGUGCAAGUAUUCUAAGCACGUAGAUACUCACAAUUCGACUAACCUAACAUCAUUGUCAAAUCUUAAUGGAGAAAUGAUAGUUGAGUGCUCUGAUUAUUGGAAGAGUGAUACACCACGGUUCUGCAUUUCUUGCUCUCAUUUUAAUCGCGACAAAUUAGUCAAUUUACUCUUUGCUCAUGUUCGUUGGCAUCUUGCAAAGUUUCUUUGUAGAUCAUUAAAUUUUACCGCUUUCAAAAGAAUAAUAUUUUAUACCAGGCACUAAUGAGUUUUUUUAUGAGACCUAUCUUUUGAGUAUUUAUUUAUUAUUAAUAGUAGAACUAGGUUGCUAUGCUAUUUAUAGCACUAAGUUAUUAGUUUUAUUGGGUUUUCGGCCUGAUUCUCUAGGGUUGAAUGAAUGAUUCGUCGAAUAAUAUGAUCUAACGGAUGAAAAUGAUCAACGGAAUAGAUCUAACGAUUAAAAAUUUAGUAAUACCAAGUACUUAGUGCUAUAAAUAGCAUAGUAACCAAACACGUACUUAUUAAUUAGUAUUCUUAUUAUUAUUAUUUUUGCAGCUUCUACAUCCUUCUGUUUGCUGACAUAACUAAUUGUGACUUGUGUUCUAAAGAAAGGGACAACCGGACAACCCCGCAAAAAAAUAAAAAAGGAAAAAAAAAGUGAAAGAGAGAAAAAAAUAAAAAAAUUAUUGCACUAUUUAUACCAUACCAUUUGUAUAAAAUUACAUAAAUGUGCUUGGAUUCUAUUGUUUGAAAAAAGAUUGAACUUUUUUAAUUAUUGCUAUAUUUUUAUUUUUGUGUAUAAUAAGAGUUUAUUUUUGGAAAAAAAACAAAUAUUUAUGUUUGUAAAUUAUACUUUUUAAGAAGAAAAUAAGUUAAUACGGAUAGGAGAAUGAGAGAACCGAGAGAGAGAGAAAGAACCAGAUAUAUUGGUAUAUUUUCAAAAUUUAUUUUUAAUAUAUAAAAUUCAAAAAUAUGAUCCGUUUUUGCACACAAAAUCAGUAAAUUUUUUACACAGAAAAACUAUCCUACAUUCUUAUCAAUCGAAGAUUAAUUUUUACAUAGUAAUCUUAUUACUUAUUACUUUUUAAUACUAAAUUUUUUUGAAAAAAAUUGUGUUAAUCCUUAAAAGAUAAGCGUAAAAUUUACACUCACCAAAUUGGGCAUCCAAAUAGCAUAUUUCGAAUAUUAUAUCCUACGAAUGGUGGCGCACGUGGAGUAGCGUAACUGGCUCAGGAUCUUAAUCACUUCAAUAUUGUUUAAUUAUUACUUUGGCACUGCCUAAAAAUAACAUUGACUAAAUAAUAUAGAUGACUAAAUAUUAGCAUGCUUCGCAAGCGAUGAUCAUCUCUUUUUAAUUGUUUGCAAUGUCGGAAAAGUCUUAUGGAUAUAUUCUGCUAAUGUCCAGCUUAUCUUUAUGUACAUGGAAAAAAGCUACAUGCGUAUGAUCUACAAAUAUCUUUAAAAAAAAUUUAAAAAAAAAUAUUAAGAAAAGCUUAGCUGGUGAGAACGUCAAAUCAAGAGAGAUACAAAGUAGAUUGUUGGGCUAAAUAUGUCACUUCUUUUUUGUGUAAGAUAACAUUACUAUUCAAUUCUCUGUAUAGAAAUGAAAAACUCACGCAAAAGUGAGUAUUUGUACGUAAAAUUAUUAUUUAUAAAAAAAAUUAGAGUCCAAGUGUGGGAGUGAGUUGAUUCAUUAAUAUAAAGAAGACGAGUAUCGUGCUAUAAAUAAGUGGUGGUUUCCUUUUUCGACUGUCUCUAAAGCAAAUGGCAAAGAGCUUGGUGGUUGGUACCCACGACCCAAGUUCGAAUUCUAGUUGAUUCACAUUUCUAGCUAAGUUUAUUUCUAAAUGAAAUAAACGAAGCGGGUAGCGUGUUAUCUAUCUCUCAAAAAAAAAAAAAAAAAAAAAAGACCGUUGAGGAUAUAGUGAUUGGAUAAUAAGGAGAAUUGCAUUAGUAAGUUAUCAAAUCUUGCUGGUAAUCGAAUACUGAAGUCAAUCGAUUUGAAAUUCUAUCGAAUUUCAAACAGAAAAAAAAAAAACUUUCAAAUUUCUCACAAAACCCCCCAGUUUUUAGAGUACACACACGAGAUUCGACACCUAUUUGGGUACAUUCUCGGACACGCCAAACUUUAUCUAUUUUUUAUUUUUCAUUUUUCAUUUUUUUUUUUUGGGGAAUUAAGUGCAUGAGAUUAGAGGGGGGAUAAGAUUGAAAUUUGUCCGAUAUUAUACUCAGCUUUGGUUGGGGGACAUGCGAUAGCUUUCACAGUAACCUCCCAAUUCCAAACUCGUGCACCUCACCCUCCACCUUUCUCUUUCUAUGGAGAAAUUUAUAGAAAUUCGUUGAAUUUCUUUCUUAAAUUAAAUAAGAAAAAACUUCAAAUACCAUCUCUGUAAUUUUACAUUUUCUCAUUUUAGUAUCCCGUGGUUUAAAGUGUAUCAAUUUAGUGCCCUGUGGUUUAAUUUUUAUCUUUCUAUCAUCGAUUCCACUAAUUUUUUCGUUAAAUUAGUGACAAAGUUAAAACUAAAAGGUACUAAAGUGAAUAUUCGAUAAACCUAGGUAGGAUAUCUGAAAUAUUUUGCAUAUGAUUUAACGAAAUAUUAACGAAAAAACUGACUUGAUACACUUUAAACCACAUGAUACUAAAGUGAAAAAAAUGCAAAACUACAUGGGUGAUAUUUAAAGUUUACACAUUAAAUAAUAAGGUGUCUACAAAUGAGAAAGAAAGGUGGAAGAGGCAGUUCAGUGUUUCUUGUCCUUCGUUCCAUGGAUCCCACCAGAGCCCACUCUGGAAUUUCUUCUCUCAGUAGCUGAUCUUUUUUUUUUCUGUGGAAAAUUAAUAGUGAAGAAAUUAUUGUGUGAGCUCAAUGCGUUAGUAACUUCCAUGCAACAUUUAUAAUUUGAUUUGAUAGUGGUUGCGGCUUAUCUGGUCAGUUCGAUUGAUCCAUCGAUUUAUCGAGUCAGCUCUGAGAGAGAAAGAUAGCAUGCUGCAUAAUUUGUUUAUUUUCUUAAAAAAUAAACUUAGCUGGAAAUAUAAAACAAUUAGGCUUCGAACUUGGGAUAUCGGAUACCAACUAUCAAAUUCUUUGCCACAUUAUUUAGAGACGGUUAAUUCUGAAUUGUUCACUUUUAUAGUGGGACGGUUUCAAAUUGAAAGAAGCAAACUUAAUAUUUGUAGGGUUGGUUUCAGAUUAGCAGGUUGAUCAGCCUGGUAGACUCGUUGAUUUUGUUGAUUUAUAGGCUAGGGGGUGGCUGAGUAGAUUAGGUUGAUGACUUAUGCUCAGUUUGAAAUUAUGUUGUAUAAAAGUUUUCGCUUUUAUAUUUUAAAAAUUUUAAAAAUAAUUUUUUAAAAAAAUUAACUUUUUAUUUUCGAUUUGUUUAGGAUUAAUUUGUUCUUGUAAAUGCGGCAAUAGCACCUGGACCGCAUUUGCAAAAAGUUAUAAAAAGGUCAUUUCUCGUAAUUUCGUUUGCUUAUAUUUUUAACAUACCAGCAAACGAUUUCUUCGCAAUUAAUAGGAGCUGCAACAAAAGUUAGUAAUUCGCUGCUUGCUUCUGGGGGACUCCCAUUCUGUUUUAAGGUUUAUUUGAUAUUUAAAUUCAUCUAAUAUUUAUAGAUAAAACAGAUUUGGAAAAAAUAUAUAUAUAAAAAUUUUUGCGUUUCUAGAUGAGACUGUAGAAAAUAUGUCGUAUUGAUUCAUAAACACUGCAAUUCCAAAACAGUUCUUAACAAAUUGAUUUGAUACACAGGACAUAUCGGAUUUCAUGCAACGCACCGUUCACCAACCAAAAGCAACCAAAAUGAAUUGACACAAUUAUGAUCGACCCAUACACGCAUUAUUACCCCACUCAAUCGGAUCUGAAAAGUAACCGAAAAUCUACAAUCACAAUAUAUAUAUAUAUAUAAAUUUUACGAUCUAUUAUUUAAAAUUGUUUGGAUAUGGUGAGGACGUAGACAAAUUUCCAUGAUGGAGGAGGGAGAUAUGAAAAGGACUCGCAACCACACACGCUAAACCCCCAUGUGAUGCAGUACCAAUUUAUGUUUAUAAAUUUGGGUCGGACCACCACAUUGAAUUGGGGUUCGAUAUUCUAUCUGGGCCACAGCAUUUCAGAUCUAAAUAAUGGCCAAAGUAGCAUAUCUCAAGUCCGAGGUUCACGUGUGUAGGAAACAAAAGAAAAAAAAAAGAAAAAGGAAUAUACGUAUAGCAUGUUAUCUUUCUCUAAAAAAAAAAAAAUGACAGAUGACGAUCAGUAGAACGGGCUUACUUCUAAAACUCGACUAGAGUGAGAUUAAUAUAUUCAUCUUUAUUUACUUACUAGGUGUAGAUCAGAUUAGAUCAAUUUUGCUGGUAUUUUGUGUUAUGUAUUUGUAAUGCACAAAGAUCGGCAGAUUCGAAACUUGACUUGACAACAAAGUCGGGACCGGGGACUGUAUGUGAGGUCGGAUGCCUCCCCUCAUAUUCCGUACCGAUGGUAAGAUCCAUCUUCGACUUCCGUUGCCGAAAAUUGACACUUUGACAGUUUUUCGCUAAUGCCCCAAAUUCUAACAUGAUUUACACACGUUCAAACAAAAUUUUAUCGUCUUAUAUUUUAAAUCAUAGACGAUAAGAUUACGAUCGUUAAAUCAAGGAUUACAAAGUAUGAAAGGUUUAGCAUUUCUAUUGUGUCAAAAUCUCUCCCGUAUUGCUAAAAAAUAGACUACGUGAGAAAACCUAAUAAUUUUUUUUAGGAUCCCACGUCACUACAACAGAAUUAAGUUAUAGCGACACAUGUUUGGGAUACUUUUGAGUAAGUGUCCUAUUUAUUCUAAAACUUAAAAAAACAUCUAUUAAUGCCUAAAUAGAAAGUCCAAUCCAACCAAAAAUAAAAGAUUACUCUACUUAACUCACCACAUCCAGUCCAUUUGGCCCGAUUACAAAUAGAAAAGAAAAAAAAAAAGAAAAAUCAAUUACCAUCUUUUCUUCUCUCUUCACUCAAUCCACUGAAAUUCUAGACGAAGAGUCUUUCCUGUCGUCCUCCUCCGCCACCGCAGCCAACGAGAUAGAGUUUCGGCAGUUGCUAAAUGCUUAAAUAAGUGUUGGUAAAUUAGCAGUACUCUUUUAGGUUAUAGCGACACUCUUUAACUGUCACUAUAUACCUAGCGACCCCACAUAUAGCAACACUUUUUAAAAGUGUCGGUAAUUUUAGCUAGCAGUAUUUUUUUGACAUGUACCUAUAUUUAAAAGUGUCGCUAUAAACCGUUUUUGUUGUAGUGCGUGAGAAUAAAAAUUAUAAUUUCCUAAGUUUCAAUAAUUGGGCUGAGAGCCCCAAUAAUUGGGCACACAGCUGGUCGAGCCGGAUCAAACUGCGUCCAGGUAUGUGAUUCAAAAUCAACCUAAUUUCGACAAAUUAAUAAUGUUGUCCAAAAUCCGAGCCCGGAUUCGAUUCAUCCGUAGCAGGUAAUAAUUCAUUCACGUUUAUGUUCCGUAGAGAUGUGAUCUUGAAGCUAGUAGUGGACAACACUAUCUUUGAAUGGUUUCCUUUAGAUUUAUCAGUUUAUGUACAAUAGUUCUAAUACGAGAGAAUAAAUCAAAUUGAUAGUGGCUGCAUCUACAAAAUUGGUACCACACACGUGAAAUAACGAUCUAAUAGCUUAAUCUAUCAAUAAAAUUUUAAAAAAAACAACUAGGAGUAUGAUAGGAUUAAGGCUUAGUUUGGUAUUGAGAUCCAUCUGAUACUAUUAAAUAAAAUAGAGUUCGAAUAAAAGCAUAUAGCGAUAUGCUUCUGCGUUCUCCGGUGGGACCGUAGACUUCUGCGUUCUCUGGUGGGACCGUAGAAAUUAUAUCGUAAUCGACUCAUCGCGAUAUGCGGAACAUAAUAUUACGUACGAAAACAAAUAUGAUAUUUUUUCAUCGUACUUUCUUACCGCACGUAAUGCAAUGUCCCCGGGUUUCGUUUGGAAUCGCGUUACGUGCGGUGAGAAAGUACGUUGGAAAAAUAUCUUGUUUAUUUUACGAUAAUGUCCCCGGGUUUCGUUUGGAAUCGCGUUACGUGCGGUGAGAAAGUACGUUGGAAAAAUAUCUUGUUUAUUUUACGAUGAGUCGAUUGUGAUAUAUGUUUUGUAGUCCCAUCGGAGAAUGCACAACCAUAUUUGUAGAUGUUUUUAUCCUAACUUUAUUUUAUCUAAUAGCGUCAUAUAAAUCUCAAUACCAAACCAAACCUAAAACUCACGAUCAAACUUUUUAUUCUGAUGUCACGUAAAAUGAUCGUUUAUUUUAAACUAGAAACUAUGCCUAACAAUAAUAAUAUCUAUAUCGUAAGCUUUUCCGUACCAACAAAUGUUAUGUUCCUUUUUCAGAUUUUCAUGUACAUUUGAAUUGAAUGCUAGUUGAUGGUUAUUCCACUAAGUUUAAAGUAGAACCCACACAACGUAUUUUGUGGAACCAGAUGGUCCAAUCCCAUUUGGGCAUGAGAGAAAAUAAUGGAAAAUAAUUAAAAUGAGAUAGAACAUGCUUUAGGAUAAGACCUAAUUUUUGAGAUUUUAAAGCUAUGCUUAAGUAAAAGUUUCGUUCUCCGUUUAGCCUCUUUUGGGAGUCUGCUCUUACUUUAGCACCCAAGAAAAAAAAAAAGCUAAUAAGCCUUAAAAAAAAAAAAAAAAAGCCAAAUGAUUAACAAGAUUUUAUUUGACGAAUGAAAGAGAAACAGAGUUCGGGCAAAAGUAUAUCGAUAUAUGUUUUCUUCAUUUCCCGAUGAGAUCUUAAUAUUAAUUGGUUGCACUUUUGAACCGUACAUAGAAUAUCUUCUCUGCAAUCCCAAAAAGAAUUUCAGAUUAGCUUGCAACACGCCUAGAUCAGACCUAAAAGCUAUGGAUUUAGCAUUUGUUUAAUUUUCUGACGUGGUGUAGAAAUGACUUGUUUUAUGCAGAUAGGUAUGCUAAUGUCAAAAUCAACCGACUCAAUCCUUUAGAUUUUGGAUUAGGAUAGGAGAAUCGAAUAACUCUUGAUAAGAAAUGAUCUAUAUUUGGUCUCACAUGAUCAUUCUCCGAAGACAAAAAAUUUAUGAUUUGUUUAGUUUUAUUCGAGUUUCCACAAAAGUGUUUUUUGAAAAACACUACUGAAGAAUUCAUCAAAGUUUAUUUUCAUUUUUUUGAUACAGAUUUAAUUUGAAGCUUCUAUUACGAAGAGCAUAAGGUUUAUCAUUUGUAUGUCAAAGUAAUUAAUGUUGGAGUGGAAUAUUUAUUAAUGGUUGGGGGAUAGGACUUCAACUACAGGAGAGGCACUGCUCAACAUAAAUGGACUCGCCAACUAUAGGAUAUUAAUUAAAGGGUGCUUAUUCGAAAAAAAAAAAAAAAAUCAUGCUUGUGUUAUAUCAAAAAUUAGUAUAUAUCUACAGCUAAGUAGAUAUAUUCUUGUGAUGAUUCACUUAGAAUUAGGUUCAAACAUGUUGCUUAGAUUGUGAUUGAUGGACAAACGCAUGAUUGCUAACUUGGAUUGCGAUCUUCAACUGUAGAUUCUCCAAAGCUCCAAACAAUGCUAGGAGUACUCCGGAGAAGCUCGAAAUAUAUUUAAAAGUACAGUUGAUGAAUCAAUUAAUCAAGAUAAUUUAUUAAUAAUUUAGGAGUAAGUACGGCUAUAGAAAAAUUAUGUAAGGGUGUGCUAAAAUCUUAUGUACAAAAAUAUAAAUUUUGUAACGACAAUUUCCACUGUAGUAUCGACUAAUAAGAAUUUAACAUUCUCACCACAGAAACAUUGUGUUGUGAUACACAUCGACCGUAUCUCUAACGCACCAUGCACGUGGGCCAGGCUCAGUCUCUAAUUUGGACUCGAGCCGCAUCGCAUUGGGUUCGAGUCAUAUUAGCAUUUAAGGAUGCCCUCGGAAUCAGUCUUGCUAAGAUUGCUUUAAGGUCAAAGAAAUUUUUUUUUUUUUUUUAACUUUAGACCAAAAUAUUCUCGCUCACUAAAAAGUGAUUGUUUUCUUGUUUCUCCUAUUAUCGUUUCAUCAAAAUAGAGCAAAUCAGAAAAAGCCAAGCCAUUCCUUCGAUACCUAGUAUACAUACAACCUAGCUAAGUUAAGGUGUUAAAGAAUGACAUUUCAGUGUAAGAUUAAGAUUUUUAGUAGGCUUAAGAUGUGAAUUUAAAUUAAAUGGUAAAUAGUUAAGAAUGUUUUUAGGAUUGUCGAUAUGCAUUAUACAUGGUUAGAAGGUGCUGUAGAAUAAUAUCUUAUUUAUUCACUUCAAGAAUAAUCUAUUGUGCAGAUUGUAUUGAUUUGGUUAUGUUGGAUUAUCUAAAGUCAUGUUCCGAGUCGAUAUCACGGUGAAAACAUUGAAAAUUUGAGGUUUCUAGAUGUUGGGUAUCAAAAUUUAAAGUUUCAAUACCUGAACUAUUGAGCACCUCAACAGUUCUUCAGAAGUAUCUCAAGACCUGAAAGCUGAAAAACUAUUUUUUAUACUAAGUACCGGUACACAAUUUGGAGUAUUAGUACGCAAUAUUCUGUCUUUAUAUUGAGUACCGGUAGGCGACUUUGAAUACGAAUAAAUAGUUUCACGACGGGUUGAAUAUAUAGAGUUUGACUCUAAGGGCAUGUUUGUUUUACAGAAACUGGACUUUGGGUUGAAGUGAAUUUUGGAUUGAAGUGGGGUUCGGUGAAAACUAUUUCUUCCCCGCUGUUUGUUUCAUAGUUAUGAAAGUGAAGUUCCAUUAGUUCUGCUGUUUGUUUGGUAGAAAGUGUAUGAUGUAAAAGUAUAAUUUAUAUACAAAUAAUAAAUAUUUUAAUAAAUAAAAAUAAUAUAAGUAUAUUUUUAUAUAAUUAAAAUUUAAUUUAAAAAAACUAAAUAAUUUUUUUAUACAUAAAUUAUAGUAAUACAAUAAUAAAAUUAUAAAGUAAAAAAAAAUUAAUACUUAAUUAAUCAACUUUUAUCAUAUUUUAAAUGUACAAACUAAAUAAAGAAAAUAUUAGAACUUAACUAAUCAAUUUUUAUCAUAUUUUAGAUAUACUAAAUGAAUAAAAAAAAUUAUUAGUAACAUAAUUAAGUAUAUUUAAAUAUAACUAUCUUUAUCUAUUAUAUUAUUUUAUUAUUUUUUCUUCACCUCUCUUCACCGUAAUUGAUUUCGACCCACGAUGGGGUAAAGUAAUUUACGCCGUUUGAGGUUAACUCGAGUUUCGACCGUAACUUUUUAACGGUGAACCAAACAACGAAAGUGGCUGUUUAGGACGAAAACGGCUUCCCUCCUCUCCACUUCCACCCCACUUCCAUCCAAACAAACAUGCCUUAAUUGGAUCUAAUCUUGUUCCAGAAAAUUAGGGUUGUUCCAUAAUUACUUUUAAGGGAAUUCUUAAAAGGAUAUCGAUGGUUAGACGUGAAUCGGAGACUCGGAUGGAAGGCGAAAAUAAUUUCCUACUAGAAUUGGAAUUUUAGAGUUAUAAAAACUUUUGUAAUUAAUCUUUAGAAUUUGGAGUCUCAUUGUUGGAAGUUUCUAGUAUGAGCUUCAUCGUAGAUACCCUAAUUCAGAGAAAAACAUAGAGAGCUACUGAGAGAGAGAGAGUUUCUUGUAAUCUAAUUUACUUUUUUGUACUUUUGUAUCGUAAAUUAAUCGGAGAAAAUAUUAAGGUGAUCUUAUCCGUGGACAUAGGUCGACUCAUGGUUGACCAAAUCACUUAAAUCUUGUAUUCUUGUGAUAUCUUGUUUUCUUUAUUGCUUUGUUAUUCUUGUCUUUAUUUUUUCUACAAUCAUUCUCAUCUCUUACGUCUAUGAAAGAUCCUAUUUUUUUUGUGCUCGUGUGCUGUGUAGAUUUAAGGUGUGCUUGGUAACCUCACGGCCAAUCCCUUCAGAUUAAAUUAUAAAUUCUGCAUUUCUAUUGAAAAAAAUUAAAAAAAGUAUAACUGUACAUGCUUUCACCCCAAUUCUCUUUAGCCUGAUAGGAUUAGACAAAGUUCUAAAUAAGAUUAGCAUUUGAACUCAAGAUUACUGAUUUGGUAACAAUAUGUAAAACCAAAACAAUUGGUUGCCACUAAAAACUUAAACUAUUCAGAGAGCAGAAUUCUAAUUUAUAUAAAAUUAACUAGUAACAUUAUUAAGGUAAAAAUGUAUAAAACUAAUAUGAAUUAUAGACUAUUUUAAUUUGAUGAUCCAGCCGUUCACAAUUUUUAUUUUAGUAUCUAAUCUAUUAAUUUAUUUGAUUUAAGUAAUAUAAUGAUUCUUCGGAUACACAAUUUAAGCUACUUGCUUAUUAUAAUGAAUAGUUACACGACUUGUAUAAAAUAUAUUAUUAAAUCUAUAAAAAUAAAUAACACAUUUAAAUUUUAAUAUUAAAGAAUCAUUAAGUGACUCAAAUGAAAUGAAUUAAAAGAUUAGAUAGCAAAAUUCAAACUUUCAAAGAUUAAAUAGCUAAAUCAAAAUAGGUGAUAUUUAACUUAAAUUUUAUAAUUUUAUUUAUUGUUAACAACUAGUAUUUUUAUUUAUUGUUAAAAGGCAUAAUCCUAUCCAUUACCUGGGCCCACGCCGAAAAAAGCCAUUUUUAAAUAGUCACAACAAUGAGAUUUAUCUCAAACCACGUAAAAUAAAAAAGUAUUCGACCAGAAAACUUCUUUUUUUUUUUGAGAAAUAGAUAAUACGCUAUCCACUUUAUUCAUUGAAAUGAUGAAUUAGGCUACAUGGAUGAGGCAACGUCGGCCUCGGGUUGGAGCGAAAAAAAAAAAAAGAAGAUUCGUCAACUAUUAACCAUUACUGUUAGCCUGACAAAAUUUGGUCCCAAAUCUUCAUCAAUUGUUUAAUCUUGUGGACUGCUUGGAUGGGGUCCGAUUGGGUCUUCCUAAAAUCACACCAUUCCUAAUCUCCCAAAUAAUCCAUCAGCAAACUAUCAAUCUGGAUAUUGUAGUACACGACCGCUG